UUUUGUUUUUGUUCUAUUUGAAUUUACAAUUAUUUUUCUGAAAGCAAUAAGCAUUACAUGUAGAGUAAGCUCAUUGAGCUGAUAGAAGCAAUAAGUUAAUUGUUAGUUUAACGAUGCAUUGACACUUCUAAUUAGUCGAUUAAGUUAAUUAUGUGCAUGAUCUAAUCUCCACCGAAUACGAAAAAACCACUAACCAACAAAGUAAUGUGCAUGAUUAGCAGUCGUUUCCCCUUCAAUUAUGAGCACAUAAAAUGUACAAGUCUUAGGCCUAAUGAUCUUUCCAGCCAAUCAUUUUCACAACCCUCUCUAUCUUAAUAAGUCUUUUCAGAAAUAAUAAUGCUUAGUUUCCUCUGAGAAAAUCGAUCAAAAGACUGAAACUUCAAAGCAUGAUACUAAAAUUUUUUGACUUUAAAUUUGUCCCUCCUCCUUUAAAAAAAAAAAAAGAAAAAGGAAAAAAAUUUGUUUGAUCAUUCGUGCAAGAGAUUAUAAGAGGUGUAGAACAAUAAUAUACUACUUAAUAAUAUCAUAGAGACUUGGUAGCAUGUUGUACAGCUUGACCACUUAUCACCACAAUCCCUUCCUAUGUUUCUAAUAAAACCAACCAACUAGUACAGUGGUAUAUUAGGUUCAUUGAACGAGCUCUUCAACAUAUUUAUUUAAAAACUUGGCAUUUGCCUCCAAAGUCAUAGUCAAGUUUCUAUAUUGUUUUUUUUUUGGGGGGGAGGGGGUCCCUUCCCUUCUUUUUAUUGGUUUCUCAUGUUGACUUCUUAUAUAUAUAUAUAUAUAUAUAUAUAUAUAUAUAUAUAUAUAUAUAUAUAUAUAUAUAUAUAUAUAUAUAUAUAAAAAAGAGAAUGUGUGUGUGUGUGUUACUGCUAAACAAGAAAAAAAUGUACAACUAACUUGUUACUCGUAGGGGCUGGACGGACGCUUGCAGCUGGUUACAGGUAUUUGGAAACAUGUGCAGCUUAAUCAGCACUAAGGGUCCGUUUGUUUCAGGUGAAAAUAUUUUGAGGAAAAUAUUUUUCUAAUUUCCCGUGUUUGGUUGCACAAAAAUUAUUGAAAACAUUUUCCUAUGUAAAAUAUUUUCACUCAUCUUAUGGAAAACAAUUUCCCUUCCAAACUUACUGAAGUUGUUUUCCGAAAUGCAUGCAUCCCACCUAGGGUUGCAAACGAGUCGAGCCGAAUCGAAUUUUGAACCAAUCGAGCCGAGUCUCGACUAAAUUUUACCAAACUCGAGCUCGAGUUCGACGAGCUGGCAAUUUUCGAGCUCGAGCCGAGCUCGAGCUCGAACUCGAAAAAAAUAAAAAAAAAUAUUUUAUUUUUUAAAAAAAUAAAAAAAAUAAUAUUUUUUCUGAAUAAAUAAUAAAAUAUUAAGGAUAUAUACGUAAUUUCACUAUGAAAAUAAAAAAUAAAAAAUAUAUAUAUAAUAUACGUAAUGUUAUUAUUAAAUAAAAAUAAAAAAAAAUAUAUAUAUAUAUAUACUUAAACUUGCGAGCCGGCUCGCGAGCUAACGAACUUAAUAUUCUGAGCUCGAGUUCGAGCUCGAAUUUGACUCGAACUGGCUCGAGCUCGAUUAAUAUCGAGCUCGACUCAAGCCGCUCGUGAGCGGCCCCGCUCGCGAGCGGCUCGAUUCGUUUGCAACCCUAAUCCCACCUGUAGUAUGUUCCAAACUUACUGAAAGCAUCUUGUAGUAUGUUCUUUUUUUUUUUUUAGUGUAAACAGGAGGACUCGAACCCAAGACCUCUUCCUUGCACUCCCUUCCCCGUACCACCCAAUCCAACCCUCCCCCUAGUAUAUUCAAAAUAAAAAAAAAAUUCAUCAUGCUCAUCCUAUGCUAAUAAUUAAUUAUGUAUAAUAGGGACAUUCUUUUCUAGAGAAACUUUUAGCAGUGAAAGUGCAAGAUAUAUGUUACAAUAAGCAUUGCAUGUGAUUGAUAUUUGAUACUAAAUGGCCAGCAAUUUGUUUAUUGCUUAAGGAAAUAUUUUUUAUUCAUAUAUACAUUUCUCCAAGAUUUUUUAAAGUUAAACAAUGAGAUAAAUUUUCUUAUUUUGCAUGGGAAGAAGUAUGUAGUUAUAAUGUGUAGAAAGUAAAGAUAGAGAUAAAAGUAAAAAUAUUUCAAAAGGGAAACAAACACCAGAAAAAUGAAGUAAGAAAAUAUUUUUAAUAAACUAACCAAACACCUGAAAAUGAUGAAAGGGAAAUGAUUUUCAUGAAAAAUUACUUCCACAGAAAAUAUUUUUCCAAAGAAAAUAUUUUACUUUCAACCAAACAGACCCUAAGUCUCGUAUCGAAAUAUCAUUUAUUCACAACAACAAAGUUACCAAAUUUUGUUAGUAAGUACAAAAUUGUCUAGCAUGCCUUUUCUUUUCUUUUUUUUUUUCCCCUUUUUUCUGCUCAUGAUCAUGUUGUUCUUUCAGAGUAGAAUUUUACUGAAUAAUCAGAAAAGAAAAGGGACGAAAGUUCAACAGUUAGACUUUUUCUUUUUUACAUUCUUUAUUUCUUUCAAGUAUCAAACAAAAUAAAAAGGUUAAAGAAUAAACAUUUCCUUGGAUCUGCACCUAUGGUAUUGUGGCAUGUGAUCUAGCCGAAGUCAACCAUGUGAUCUCCAGACCAAACCAUGGCUUAGUUCAGUUGAUAGGGAAGAAAACUCACUGAUUAAUCAAGACUAAAAAAAAAAAAAAAGGUCUGACAAACGAUUAAUUUUUAAAAAAACCCAAAUAGUUACACGUAGCCGCUGCCCCUGACGGCUUGGAUCUAGCAUUGAACACUAAGACCAAUCGCUACUUCCCCGUAUUGCCCGCCGGGUUGUGGGGAUCCACCGCUCUUCCGCGUGUCGGACUUUUCAUCUUCUGAUAGGUCAAAGCGUAGCCAAUAAUCUCUCCGGUGCCCUUAUGAUCAUCCGGCACCGACUAGGCAAAGUAAAAAUUGCCCACCACUAUUCAUUAGUAUUGCCAUCGAAAAAAGGCAGUUCUUGAAUGAUGUGCACAUUUUAUCAUAUUUUAAACUAUUAUUAGAUAGAUAUUAUAUUUUAAUUGUGUUGGUACAAUUUUUAAACUUUUUUUAUUCACCAUUUUAUUUUUACUUUUUCAAUAAUGCCAGCACCGUGCAUAGCACGGGUAUUCACACUAGUUGUCACACUAAAAUUCAAGAAAUUUGAAAUUCUUACGUGCGCAUGUGUGUGUGUGUGUAUAUAUAUAUAUAUAUAUUUAAAUGAAUUCGACUCCAAUCACCAUCACGAAUCAUGACAUGCUAUUAAAAUUACAAGUCGUUUAUCGAGAUAUUUAUAAAAUUAUUCAUGAAUAUGAGCAGCCAAAAUUAUAUGAUUCCCUCUAUAACAUUUGCUUAUAAUCACUACAUUGUAAGUCUGAUUUUCCAUGAUUAAAGAAGAAAAAAAAAUCUGUUGUGUAUUUUCAACUUGUUACGAAGUUAGGAUAGACCAAUAAUUAUGUUCUUUUUUAACAUUGCUCUCUUACAAGAAAUUUAACGGCAAGAAGGAUACUGUAGAUUCAAAAGUUCAGAGACAAUAAUGUUUCCAUUAUCAGCCAUGUUUCGAAAACAAAGCGUGCAUAUAUUACUCAAUAAUGAUAUUGUUGGAGAUGGAAACUUUUCGAGUUCCAAACUGAAAAUGCAUUUAUUUUUCUUUCCCUGCAUCAUAGAAUUUCAUUAGUUUAAUUGUAAUCAGUUGGUAUUCGUGGGUCACAUAAUUAAUUGAAUUCCAACCUCAAAUAUAUUCAAACUCUCCUCUAAAGGUCAAAACCAAGAAGCUCCUGAUUUCUUACUACUAACACGAGUAAACCAGGCGGGAAUCUAGAGCUGCACAGAACCUCGUAGUAAUUACUAGGAAAUUUUCUUCCAAUCACACAUGCCAUGCAAUUAAUUCUCUUCUAAAGAAAUGGAUUUCUUUAAUCACAAAUGACAAAAAACCCUGAUUUAAAUUCCAAUGUCUUGUUGCCUUAGUUUGCAAGCUUGUGCAUGAACAUCCCUUGCUUGUGCUGCCAAGAAGAUCAAUGGCCACCAAGUUACUCAAGCUCCUCACCGUUCUCUCUCUAUCCCUCGCCUUACUGCACUCUCAAACGUCGGUUUCUUCCUCCUCAGCCACCAUUCUGGAAGACGACGAUGAUCAGGAAGAGUACAUCCUAGACGCACCAUUUGCACACACUCAUUUGAGAAGCCGGUUCUUGGCCAGCGUCAAGAAAGGCUCAAGUUGCAACUCUCAAAAGAAGAACAAAUGCAAUGGUGUGUGGGCAAAUGGAGGAACAAGUCUUCUCUACUGCUGCAAAAAUCAUUGCAGGAAUGUGCUCGGAGACGCAAACAACUGCGGCCGAUGUGGGAGCAAGUGCAAGUUAAACGAGAAGUGCUGUGGCGGAAGAUGCAUUAAUGUCAUGUACGACCGUUACAACUGCGGCAAGUGUGGUGGAAGGUGCAAAAAGGGCCUAAAAUGUGGCCAUGGAUACUGUGGCUACGCUUAAUCACGGAUUCACACCCCAAUAAUGCAUGUGCAUGGGUGCAUGCAUGAAAUGAUUUGGGGAAGAAUUUGGAGUCUUUUCCCUUGGAAGGGGACUUGUCACCUUAAAGGGAUCGACCAUAUUGGACUGGAGAGUAAGACAUGGAUCUCUUCAGCUUUUCUCUAUUGCAUUAAGAUGACAUGAACGACCAGUUCAUGAACGGUCAUACAGACGGUAGAUUUUUGCAGAUGCUGGAAUUUUGAUGAUUUUUUGUAUGUAAUACUCUUUUGCUUGCAUACAUAGUGGUUGAAUAAUGGGGGUUUUGAUUUUUCUUUUUAUAAUUUUGUUUAUUCCCGUUGCAUUUGUUUGUUUCUUCUACCUCACUUCAGAUUUGAGCACAUGAUGAUAACUGAAGGAGUGGAUGAAAAGAGCAACGAUAACGAGGUUCCAUGGUCGGGCAUUUCAUUUCACUGUUACGAUCAUUUUCGUCGAGAGACUUCUUUUCUGUUUUAUGGAUGUAUGUUGCGGUAUUUUGAUCAUUUGGUUGCUCAAAAUGUUACUUCUCCAGCUAACUUAGCCAGGAGUUAUAUCCAACUUGAUUGCUCAAGCAAAUUGGGCAUUUCUUUCUUCGGUAACGAUAUUGGUGCAGCUCUAAUGUUUCUUGGACCAAAUCAAUCCCAAGAUCUCAAGUCUCUCCUUGGGCUACAGGCGAGGAUUCAAAUUCCACCUGCAGCGAAACAAAUUCAAAGGUGGUGCCGGAACACCCUUUUGGUCUAGUAAGAUUUAUACACUUAAAUAAAAUAGGUUAUUGACCCACCCAUCCCCACCACCUCGAAUUAUAUUCCUUUUCCUUUUCCUCUCCAAGUAAUUCAUUUUGGCAGAAACAUUUUAUUCCACACAAAGCAUAUCAACAAGCUGUACAAGCCCUGAAUCCAUAGUAUGACUUUCCUCCAUAGUUUGAAUACAUUUUAUGACUUUCCUCUUUUCCCCAAAUCCAUAGUAUCCAGACAUUUCAACUGCACGAAUGUGCUCUUUUGGGGGAAAAAAAAUACUAAUAAUAAGCCCAUUUGCAUGAAGGAGAAUUAUCUAAGGUUUACAACUUGGCAACAUGAACGGGUAGAUCUAAAACUAUAAUAGCUUCUCGACAUUUUCUCCACAGGCAAAAAUGAUUGAAGCACAAAGUGUUGCAUUCACAUUUUCCGCCAAGAAAAGCAAACAAAUCAUACAAGAACGGCCAUAAAUGACCUUUUUUUUCCUCUUUUGUUAUGAAAUUUGUACACUACACGAUGUCCGUCUAUGAGAAAAAAUACCAUAACGCUUGCGAGUCAAAAGUUCAUGGAAAAGUACAUUGUAAAGCUUUGUCAUUUUUAUAGCUGAAUGAAUUGGAGAUAUAAACUCACCCUCUUCCCCCAAUUCUUUCCAUUCUACUAACGAAUUUUCUAGAAUAAUUCGCAAAUCUAGAUCUGCUAAUUGUUCUCGGAUAGCAACCGCACCAGUGUAAUACAGCUUAGAGUUUUUUUAUAGCUGGAUCUGAAAUAAGUUCGAUGCUGAAGAUAAUAAUAGAGCAGCAUCUAGUGAUGAAUCCGAAUCAAGAUACUUUGACUUUUGCUGCUCACAUAUAUCGAAUCAGUUCAACCACGAACUUACCUUUUUUUGUUGAGUUUAUUUCUCCUAUCUGAUGAUAAAAAGAACAUUUGAUGGUUAACAGAAGGUGACAGGACAGUACUCAAUUCACACUUCACAAAUAUUUGAGAUGAUUUUUUUAGUAUUCUAAGUUUAUAAUUGACGACCAUUCAAAAAUAGUUUUGACACACAAUCUCACCUUCAAUCUUCCUCUUCCGCUGACUGAGAUGAUGUCUCCGGUCUUAACAUUAGUAUUGCUUUUCAACACACCGGUCCAAUUCACACGAACAUCUCCAUUACUGUAAAUUAAGAUUAAGUUUUUUAGUUCGUUGUGCUAGCUAAUAGUACAACUGAGUUUUAAGAGACUUUUCUAAAAGUUGAGGCCAACAAAAGCCAUAAAAGACAUCUUCAAUAACCAGAUGCUCACCAUCAUAUCUUUGUUGCUACAUCUUACAGGGUAACAGAACGUGAAAAAACAAUGAAGAAGAACUGUAGUGUUUCUGUUAUUCCAUACCUGAUUAAAGCGGCCAUUUUUGUUCGUGAAAUUUUGUACCCAGCACUAGAAAUGGCAUCAAGCCUGAGCGAUGAUUCUACAGUUUUAAAAGCCUUGGUUCUAUAAUAAGGAAAAAUGGAUUUUAGUCUACAGACGGAGCCAAACAAAAACUUUUCAUUCAAUAAUUAAAACAAAAAUCACAUAUGGAACAGCUUGAACCUGGGCGGUUCAUAUUCAAUAGCCAGCAAUGGUAUCUUUUUACAGGUGACUGAAACAUUUCCAACCUGCAAAUGAUAAUAGAAAUUAUUAAAAUGCUGAUUAUUUACUUCAGUUUCUUAACUCCUCUGGAAUUUAGACACUAGAUGUUUACCAAUUAUACCAUGCAAUGAUUAGACAAUCAUCUUUUUACUCUCAAACAUUCAAGACUGUAAAAUAUAUAUAGAACAAUUUGUGCCUUUUAAACCUUUCAGGUUUUAUAUAUAAAAGCAUACCUGCAGCUCAACAAAAUUUUUAGGAUUUGAUGCACUCUAGAAUAAUUGAAACUAUUAUAUGCCAAGAUGAUCUAAUUUAUCAAACCAUAAGCAAAGAUAAAGUUUCUUUUUUUUUUUAAAUUGAAACACAAUUGGCAGAGAAUGUAUAGCUAGGAAGCAAUCUAUAGGACAGGCCUACCUUGUCCAAGGAUGACGUGAGGUAGUCAGCAAGCUCUGGAACCACAAGAAUGUAAGCCCCCUUCUCUCCCUAAAUAUCAGAAAGAAAAAAAUUCAAAAUGUAAUAAUUAUGUGAUCAAAGCUAGGAAGUGAUAAAAUUAUUCAAAUCUGAAGUGAACAGUAACUGAAUUUGACCAUGUACAAAUUCUAUAGAAAUUAGAAAAAAAAAAUGCCAAGUAUACUGUCUACAAAUCAAAUUCAGUUAAUACAUCCUAUAACUUGUGUGUUCAUCAUCACAAUUGACAGACUGUCAAAUAUUCAGACUGUUAGACGAUAUAUCACAUAUUAAACAGAUUUAGAAAAUUUAAAUAAACAGUGAAAUUAGAUCUAGAGGGAUAGAAACAUAAGGACUCGUUACAGAUAUAUACGAAGUUUACUGCUUCAACUGAUGUAAGACUGUAUCAUAAAGAAAUUUCUACUGAGGCGUUUGCUUAUAUGUAAAGGACAAGAAAGAGAAGAACCCUGCUGCAAAACAGAGAUUUCAAUGGUGGAAGGUUUUCAAAUGAAUUUUCCCUAUAGUUCAAGAAGCAUAAUGUGUAACAGCAGUUAAAUGAAGAACCUACCUGCAAAAUAAUAUCACCCAGCUUAUCUCUCGUAAUCCCUGUACCAAGGAUUGCACCAAGGAAGUCACCAUGCGAGCAAGGCUGGAAUCCAAAGUUACCUAAAACACUGGAAACAGGAGCCAGUUCACAAUUUACUAACAAUUCUAGAUCUAACUCAACCAACAAAAUGGAGGACUGGUCACAUGAAUACCUUAAAGCUGCAACAAUAUCAGGAUCACUUGUCAAAACUUCUGGAUGUCCGACUGAGAGUCGGCAGCGUUCAGCCUAGCAUAAUUGACAGGAAUAAAAAUCAUAAAUAAUUUGAGAGAAAAUACUUGACAUAUGGCGACAAAAAUCCUUCGUAUCAAACCUCUGGAUAUCCUCCUUGAGCAACUGUUUUAAUGUCAACCAAAUCUUUCAAAGCUUGCAUUGACUCCUUUAGUACAGGUGGUGUAAGAAAGCCAGUAUGUAGAAUUUCGCACCUAGUUGCUGCUCGUUUUGCCUAAUAUAUCCAUGAGGAUGAUGGAUAAAUACAAACCGAUUCCAAAUGUAGAACUCUUACAAAAUUAUCUAGUCAAAUCUAGAGAAAGUCUAUGUGCUUUGCCAACUACUGGGGAACAAGGUGUUUGGAGACAAAUAGAAAGAAACAAAAAAGACACAGCAAGGAAACUGGGUAAAUCAACGUUUGCAAACUUUAAAUGAGUAUGUACCAUUUCAAGCACACGCUUGACAUCUUCAUUUGUGUCCUUGUCUCCCACUCCUUUCAGUAAAAAAUCUGUAUCACUCUUUAUAGCCUGUGAUAGCUGGCAUAGACCCAAAGCUGCGUUGCAAGAGCAUGAAGAACUGUGCAAGUCAUCAGCCAUGAUAGUAGCAUUUUUAGCAUAAAAAAUGAAUCACCCCAUUGAGACAGCAAGUAGAGAAAUAGAUGUCUCCAAGCAAUGAACAUUAGGAAGCCACUUAAAGAACUUGGGUCAUUCAUACAAGAUGCAUAUAGCCCUUUCCAUCAAAGGAACAAUCUCUUUCCAGCGAUCAGAUUGCUCAAGACUAAAAUUGGCAGAGUGCAUUUACUAAAGGGACACACACUACCAACUAAGAGUUGCUAGAUUAUGUAACAUUCAGUAUUUGGGUGACAACCGUGUAUGAAUUCCAAGUGGGCAUACGCACUAGAUUCUCAGAACAAGUUUAAUCACCCUACUUUCCACAAAACAAGACUCCCAGAGCCAAAAAAAUUCUUAUUUCUUAUUCCACCAGCUAUUCUAAACACCCGAACAAAUACCAUGAAAAGAAAAAGUACAUUUCAACAAAACAUACUAGCAGUACGUUUUAUCUUAGAAACUCCCACAUACACAGCAAGACCGACCCUGAAGAUUCAACCUUUCCGGCUACAAAGUUGAUAAAAAAAAAUAAUAAUAAUAAUAAGGUCCAUUUGUUGCAUUUACCAUUAAAAGGCAUAACACUGGAGUUGACCAUCACUCCUCGGUCCUCCUUUUAGAUAACACUAUAGAGAGAAGCUAAUCAAGUGCUCCACAAUUGAAGCUGUUUCGUACGAUUCAGCCAAUCGGGUCAUGAAAAAUUGUAAAAUCGGACAAGAUAAACCGUAAAGCAAAAAAUAAAAAAAUUAUACCAUCCACAAGGGAAAAGAAAGGUAGGGGAAGAUAAGAUUGACGGACCUGACGAUGAAUGGAGAGGAGUUGCAAAAGGAAGAGGCCUGGAGUAGUAGAACUUGUCUUUGAAGCCAAUGGCACGAGGAGGAAGGAAUUCAAGUGAGUGAAGAGCUCUUCUCAGAGCAGCUGAAGCCACGCUGGUGGCAGCCAUAGCCAGUAUCAACGGACCCUUACUCUCUCAGAAGUUAUUGACGCAUUGUUUGUUUCGAGAGCAGCAACUAGGAUAAAAUUUUUUAGGUUUGUUUGGACUAAGGGGAAGGAAGGGAAAAGAAAGAAGGAUAGGAGGGAAAAGAGGGAGCAGAUCCAUGGUACUUAAUCAGACUGCUUUCCAUUUAUAAGUGGCGAAAACUAAGAGAAAUAAUAGUAAUAAAAAUUUUAAGAGCCUAUCAUAUUCAUAUCAUAUGUUUAUCUUUAAUUUUUUAUGAAUAAAAAAUAUAAUUAACGUGUAAUAGGCAGUUACCUUUGGUUCUACAAUUCAAACACUAUUAUUAUUCUUAUUUUCUAAUCCAGAUUAAAUUAAACAUCGGCGGCUGGCUGCAAUUCAUGACCAUAAAUUCUCUAACUCGUUCACUGAGUAAAGAAAAGCUAUAAAAGCAGCUGUUAAAACUCAAAUAAACACAUUACAAAAUGGAUGGAUGGAUGGCUGGCACCACCAUUAUCAGUUUUGCGUCCAUCAGUAGGACUACAGGAUGCGAAAAAGGAACGAAAAAACAUGAAGAACUAAUAAUAAUAAAUAACAAAAAGGGAUAAUAUAUGUAUGUCUACUUAAUACAGACAGCCCUAAUCACUCGCAAUCACCCAAACAAAAUCCUUCCUUCGCUCAAAGACUCGGAUAACUUAGAGAAGAUAGUUAUAUCCAAUUCCUAUCAGCAGAAGCAGCGCUAGAGCAGCAGCCGGAGCAGCCCACAACCAGUAGUUCGUCGCCUUUUUGCGUCUGAGAAAAGCUUUUGGCAGUGAAUCCGCCGCACCCCUGGGCCGAUUUCUGUGUCUAACAGCGUUCUCCUUCCGGUCUUUACUUUUCGGGAGAGCCGGAGUUUCAACAGCUUCCUCCCCCUUCUCCACCUCAACUACCUCGGCAGGCGCUUCAGUUUGUUCCUCAGUCUCCUGAGUAGCAGCAACGUUAGCCCCGGCCUUUUUCUUUGCCCUCUUCUCACGCUCCUGCAAUACAUAAAUGCCAAUUUUGGAUCAGUACACAUUUUAUAUAUAUAUAUAUAUAUUAUACAUCCAAUUCAACUCAUCAUUUUCAACAGAACAAUAUCAUGAAUGAAGAAUAAUUUCCUUAAUUUUCUUCUCAGCUUCCUUUUGUGCUUUGAUUGCAGCUUUGGCAGCUGCUUUUUCUGACAACUUUUUCUUCCUUUCCAUCGCCUGCUUAGCUUUUGCGAUCUCCUCUUCUCUUUUCACUUCCUUCAAUUUCAACUCAUCAAUUUCAUUCACCUUUGGAGGAGCAUCGUUUUGCUUCUUCUCAGGCAUAACAAAUUCCUCUCCAUCUCCCGCAUCUUUCUGCUGCUUAGUACUCUUCUCCUUCUGAACUUUCUGGACAGGGGUCGCAUCAAGUUUUGAAGUACUGGAAUCUUCUUUUGGUUGUUUUACAUUUGUCUUGGGUACCACAUCGGUUACAGCUGCAGGUGCUACCUCAACGACUACUAGAGGCUUCUCAUCAGGGUUUCUCAUCCGCCCAUCGCUACUCAAUUGACGACCAUCCAGAGACGCUAAUAUCCUCCUCUCAUAAUCUUCUCUGAAGCCCUCGCUCCCGCUCCACGAGGAAAUAAAUUUAUCUACCUAACCAAGAAAAAGAUGAAAGAAUCAGCAAGGUUAAAACCACGACAACUCUAGAACAUAUACAGGCAGCACAAGUUCCUACCAACCUCUGUUUCUGAAAGUUCCUUUAGGCCUUCAACAUCCUUCUUUUCUGCAAGGCCUCUAGCUUUGUUCAACAGAGAACGAUUUUGGUAAAAGGCGGAGUUCUGAAAAUUUAAAACUUCAACAUCAUCACAAAAUUCCAAAAGUAUGAGAAAAUGGAAAAUUCAAUGUGUACCAGGGAUGAAAGGUUAUUCACAUUUACUAAAUUCGUGAAACAUUAACAACUAGGUUAUGGUAUAAUCUAUUUCUCUUUUGUUGACACAUUGGUUCUUACUCCAAAAAAAAUUAAGCUGCAAUUUCAGGAACGGGGAAGUAAACCUCCACCAACUUCAGUGGACAUCCAACUGGACAAAAAUUAGGAAAAUUGAGGAAAAGCAAUUAGAAUUUCUCAAGAAUGUUUUCUGUUUUGGUAUGACAUAAGACCUAUCAGAAGACAUCAGAAAAAGACUACCACUACCAGGUGUCACAUUGCAGAUUUUCCUCUGUACAACAUAUUCAACAUGCCUUCUGGUGGCUAUUUCUAUGCCCUGCUUAUUGGCAGAUCUGAUCCUCAGGCUGGAUUGGAUGUUAAGCCAGAUGGCUGGUGCAAUACCAUUUAGAUUCACGAGCUAUGAUCAGAACACGUGAAACUCAUUUUCCAUUAAUGUGAAGAUUAGAAUCUAAUAGUAAUUGAAAUUUUCCCGCAUGCUUAUGAGAAAGCUCAAUUCUCAGCAAGAUGCAAAAAGGGGAGCAGUGGUAUCUUUGGGCAUCAUGAAUUACAGAAUACCUCUAAGUUCUUUCUUGUACAAGUAAUCAUAAAAUUUUGUCAUCACUGGAAACCUACAGUAACGAUACAAUUUCAAUCAUGUAAAUCUAUUUGGCAUCUUGUCUACAUCUUCACUUUAAGCCUGUUAGUACAUAAUACAAGCACUUCCUGAACAAGAAUGCAUGUCCACCACUAUUUGUUUUAAGACUUUCAAAAACAUAAUAGGAAUUUCAACAGACUAUCAAGUAAUGCGCAAAAUACUUACGCCAUGACAGACAUUAGCACAAAAUCAGAGCCUUGCAAAACCAAAAUGUUGUAAAACACAGAGGCAAUUAGUUGCAAAAGUGUAUCAUAUGCUCUCACUAGCAAAUUGCAUGAUGUGGGAGAAAUACAGUAUCUAACUUGAAAAUGUCAAUACCCCUUCUUCACGUUGUUUCCUUAAUUCCUGAAUAUUUUCAAAAGUUUUGUCUCUUUUCUGUGUCACAGCUGUCAAUUCCUCCUCCAAGGACUUGAUCUCCUUUUCAAUAGCCUCCUUCUCUUCUUCAAGUUGUUUACGCUUAGCCAAAACCAGUUGCUGGUCCUUUCGCACUCCAUCCAUAUCAACUCUUAUAAGCUAUAAAAGAGUUGCAGUAAUGAGUACAACUAAGUAAAAUGCUAUAUUAGUAAAGAGCUGUAUAAAGCAAUCUGCAAAAUAGAAGUAUAAGUUACUUUCAUCUGGUCUUCAAGGGCUUCUUUUUCACCCAUUGACUCUUGAAUUUUUGCCCUCAAAGCAGCAUUAGCUAUAACCUUCUCCCUUGUCCCUUCAAGCUGUUUAAUUUCCCGAAGGAUUUGCUUCUCCUCAUUAAGGGUGAUACUUUCAUGUUGAAUGUGGUACUGCAAACUUUUGAUCUGUGACAUAAAAGAAAAACAAAAAGUUAAGCACACGAUUUCUUGUUCUUUCACAAUUAUAGUUUGAAGAUUCAAGUAUAAGACAUGUUAAGUUUCCGAAAACACCAAAACAUUGAAAAGCAAAGGAUUGCAGACAAAGAAGGAAACAAGUUGGUGGAUACGGAAAAAGUAGCAUAUAUAUUGCACUUGAAAAAUAUAAAACAUCAAAGCUUACGCGAUGAUUAAGUUCUUCCUCAGACGAACAUAUACCAGAUCCCCUGUCUCUGCCUCCAUGUAAUUGGCCCAAAGCCUGCUGCAAGGGUUCCCUUUCCUUUUUCUUCUCAUCUAUCAACUCCCUGUACUGCUUAUUCUCUUUAUUUAAAUCCUUUAAGAAAGCAAUCUUUUGUGCUCGAUCAGCCUGCAAAAGAUGAACAGACUCGAUUAGAAUCUUAUCUUCAUUUAAAGACAAGAAGCAUGCAAAAAAGAUAACAAUACCAUGACAAAUUCAUUGAUGGAUGCAAAAGAAAACACUAACCUUCAGUUUCCUUAGUUUUUCAAUGAGCUGGGAUCGGGCUUGAUUCUUCUUCUGUAGCUCAGUGUCAGCCUGAUCCAAUUUGGCUUUGAGUUUCUGAUCUUCAUGUAACCUAUACCUUACAAAAUAAAAAGAAUGUAUCUGCUUAGGUGCAGGCCAUUCAUCAACUGCAUCCUUGGGGAAGUUGACUUCAGCAGCUUUAUUUUUUUCCCCUUUCACCGGUUCAUCCAUACCAUGGGAUCCAAAUGUUAUUGGUUCGCUAAGCCCCAUUACGUUGCUUAUUUUCCCGUUUUCCUUCAACAAACUGUUUUCUUCACCUGCAGUUUCCCCAGAAACAUGGGGCAACUUAGAUUCCACAACUUCCACGCCCAUUAUUUCAACAGAAGGUAAGCACACAAAAGUGCGUUAAAAUCUCGAAUCCUGACAAAAUGGGAACAUAAGUUACCAAAGGAAUGUUCACAUUUUACAGGUAUCAGACAAACAAGGGAUUAGAGUCAAAUUGUUUAGUGGAGGUAUCAUGUCAAAAUCAAUCAUCUAAAAGUACCAACAUCAAUAAAUAAGUGAAAAUCGAAAAAGUUUUAACCCGAGCUUCCUUGCAAAAGAUUUUUAUCGAUCCAAAACACCCUUCCAUUACGGGCACGGAACUGCCAAAUUCUUUGAACCAGUUGACUCGCAAGUUAUUAACCUUAGUGGAAGCUUUAAUACAGAAGAGGAUUAAAGUGCAAUGAAUACCAAAUUUCUCACUUUACUAAUCCCCAUCGAAUAGAUCUUUGAACCAGAGACCCGAAAUACAGAAAAGAUAAAUAAAAAUGAGCCAUGCAACCUAUUUGAAACAGCAAAAACAUGUAAGAUCAGUCUAAGAUAUCAAUUAAAUAACACACAACCAAUAGCGGAAGAUCGAAUUUAGCGACAGAAGAAAGCUUCAAAGGUCAUGGAAACUUCUAAUUUAUGAACGAGAAAAAGCCAUCAACGAAAGAUCAAAAACAUAAAACUGAACGAUACAGGCGGGGAUGUAUCAAAUAAUGAAUUACUCAACCAAUAGAGAUGCCAUGCAAAUUACCUACGGAUACAAUUCAUGAAACAAAGACCAAAGAUUUCAAUUUUUUCCUCAAAUUCUUACUCUUACUCUUCGUUCAUUAAAAAGAUCAAAUUUUUGAAUCAGAAGCACCAAGAAUACACGAAAGAGAACCAUCCCACUUCAUUUUCCCCCAAUUCUUUCUAUUUCACAAGUCAAAAGAUCAAAUUUUUAAACUAAAAAAAUAAGCUAUUUUACCAAACACAACCACUCCUAUAUACUUCUACCCAAAAAGACCAAAAAUCAAUCAAAACAAAACAGGACUACCUUCUAGGACUGAGAUCAAUACGGAUCAAAUAAUUGAUCAUGAAACAGAAAUGACAAAAAGAAGUAAAGAAUCCACACUCGAAAAAAUAGACAAAGGCAAUAAGACGGAGAAAAAUGCGGGCUUGUAUCAACGAGGUAAGGAGUUUACUUACCAGAGAUGGAAGCGAAAAUGAAGAAGGAACCGAGAGAGACAGAUAUUUCCGAGGAGACCCCUUGUUUGACAAUAGAGGGCUCUUUCAAGACCAAGAAACUUGAGAGAUACAAAGAAGAGAAAAAGAAGUCAGACCCCAGAUCUCUCUCCCUCUAUAUCGUUCCCUCAAUAUGAAGAGAGAGGAAAAAAUAGAGAAAUGCUCUAUGAGUAUUCAGUACUAGCUAGCAGUUACAGAUUUUAAGGAUUUGUGGGGAAAGAUAAUGAGGGGUAGAUAUGGAGAGAGCGAAUUACAACUGAAUAUUUUCUUUUCUUUCUUUUUUUUUAACAGAGAGCAGGAAAACUCGUUUUUACAUGGAACAUCUUGGUUUAAAAAAAAAAAUUUUCCACGUUUAGUCAAAAAUAUGAAUAAUCAGAGCUGUCGACAGUAAAAAUAUGGGAUUGUUUUGGUUAGAAAAAGGUUAUCACUUAGUUAUGGUGUUAUGGACUGCUGCAAAAAAUCGGUUGUCAGAGCAGAGGUGACAUAUUUUUAGUUUUGUCAUUUGUGCCGAAUAGGAAAAAUCAGUAGUGUUUUCCCCCCGUUCCCACUCUGACAACAGAACAAACAAGAACUGCCAUAUUGUUUGAUUAGGAAAGCAUUUACAGUGGUGGUAUGAGUUUCAACGGAUUACAUGGCAAUUAAUAUUAACCCAAUUUGGCGGACCAAUGAGAUUUAGAAAUGUCAGGUUACAUCUGGUGUGUUUGGAUUAAGAAUAUUUGAAAUAAAAUAAUUUGUUUCACAAAUUUCAAUCAUUUUUUUAUCUUUUUAAUUAUUUUUUUAUCUUACAUACAUCACGUUACAAAAAGUACUACAGUAAUUAUCUCAAAUAAAUCGUCAAAAAAAACUCACGUCCAAAUAAACUUCUAUCCAAACAAACUCAUUGUCAUGUUUGUUAAGGAUAAGGAUGUGCUAAAAAAAGUAUUAUAAGCUACAUGUUUAUCAUUUGCAUAUUCUCGAGAAAAAUGAUUUAGGAAUUACUGGUGUUCAAUGAAUUUGAACCUAAUAAUUAGGAAAAAAAGAAAAGAAAAGAAAAGAGGAGUUUCUUCAUUUGGAUUACUAUUUUUUGAAUUUUUUAAAAAUACAUUAUAACGAUUUGAUGUAUAUAAAGUAAAAAAAUAUUUAACAAAUAAAUUCAUGAAAAAUAUAAAAAUUUUCCAAUGUACCUAUAGUGGUGUCCCAACGACGCUAAUAAAUGAUGGAUUCAUUUUAUUACACCUAAAAUAUAUUUAACUUACUAUGUGAAUAUAUGUAUUCAUAUUUAUUAUACCCUACAUCUAAAUACUUAUCAAAUUUUUUUCAUUUAAAAAAAAAUUAGCACAUGAGGAUAUUUUCUGCAAGACACCCGUUAGCCAAGCUUAUAGUAAAUGAUGAUUUGUCAAACUAUGCAAUAAAUACUCGUAAUGUGAACAUAAAGCUAAUUUAGAGUUUAAUUAAUGCAAAAUUUAUUUCUCUUGCAACCCACCAAGCUGCUCACUAGUUAAUGUUGUUUGACUUGUACAUUUGAAUUUUUUAACACUUGCAUUUUAGACAACGAAUACACACUCUUUUUUUUUUUGUAUACAAGUUAUUGAUAUUCAUAGACUAAACUAGCAUUUAGUGAGAUUUAAACCUAAUCUAUGACUUUUGAAAUUCUAACUUUGAAUUAUUUUGUGACUAGACUAAGACAUCGUUGGCACAAUAUAAAAUUUCUUUGGGUUGCUAAAAGAUUUCUAUAGUUUUAGUAUAGUUUUUUUUUUCCUUCUUACUAGUGAUAUGACUAUUGCGCGUCAUUGUACAAUUUGUUUAAAUAUUUCACAUUUAUUGUUUUAUGACUUUUAUUAUCUGGUAAUUUAUUUGUAUAGAAAAUUUAUUUUUAAUUAUUUAUAUUUCAUGUAUAACAUAUCACAAAAUAUAUUACAUGAAUUAUAUAUUACGUGAAUUAUUCCAAAAAUAUUUUAAAAUAAUCUCCUAUCUAGACCCUUGCCUUGUGAUAAUACAUAUGAGUUUGCAAUUGGACGCAAAACGACGAAGUUUGCAUGCAAAGAAAGAAGUCGUACUUAGAAAAGCGGUGGUGUCUGUUAUUGUGCUUUGUUUGUUAGUACAGUGUCUGAAAACACGUGUUGGGCUUGAAUCUAUUGACUUCUUUGAAUCAGGCACGUCCCCUCGAUGUCCCCGAGAACACCAUCCAUUCAUGAGAUGGUAAAUAUGUUUGGAAUAAUUUUUUAAAAUAAUACUUAUUAUAAUACCUUUUUUAUGCGACAUACGAGAGAAAAAAAAUAAUUAAAAAAUAUAAUGCACCCAUUUCUACUCCUAAUUAUGCACUAAAUAUUUUAUGAAUUGUUUCACAUUUUUUUAUGUUUCAUAAUGAGAUGAGACUUGUGUGUUUUGGAUAAAAGAUUACGUAUAAAAAAUAUUUUUAUAAUACUUUUUUGUAAUAAAUGUAUACUUCCUUUGUCCCAUUUUAAUAUUCAUGAUUUUUUUCUUACAUAAUUUAAGAAAAAUUAGUUAAUUUUAUUGGAAGAUUAAAUUUAGCUUACUAUUUUUCUAAAAUACCCUUACAUUGGCAUUGGAGUAUAUCUUUACAUUAAUUAUAGCAACAAUGUUAUGAAAAGUUGCACCAUUCAAUGUAUGGAUUCGAGCAAUUAAUAAAUGAGGUAGUUUAUAUUUACUGAUAACAAAAUACAUUAAAUAAGAGUAUUUUACAAAAUUUACAAGUUAAUUAUAUUAGUUAAUUGAAAAGUGAACUAUAAUUUAGAACAUAUAAAAAAGAAAACAAAAUUAUCAAAAUGAAACGAAGGGAGUAUAAAACAUAACAAUGAUUAAAAAUAAAAAAAUAAUUUAAAGGAAUUCUUAAUGCAAAAUUAUUACUGUAGCAUGCGGGAUGAAAAAAUGAUCGAAAAUUAAAAAAAAAAUGAGUUUCAAAAUAUAUCCAUAGUACAAAUUAUUUGGCAAAAGCUAUAAAAAACUUAGCGAACCGCGUACCUUUGAACCGGUCUCACGAUGACGUGUGUCCCAAAGGUUGUCCUGCCCAAAGUUUUAUUCUUCGUGCAAGCAAUCAUACUCUUGGAUUUUAUACUUUUUUUUAGGCACAUUUUCUGAACUUAUUAGCACUUCCUUCAACAAAAAAAAAAAAAAAAAAAAAACUUAUUAGCACUUGAACAACUCUGGUAUUAUGACUUCUCAAAAUAAAAUAAUUUUCUUUUUUUGGAAAGAACAGCUUCCUAUUAUUUUUCCUUAUUCUGGUUUGACAAGAAACCAGCAAAUAAUAGACUUAUUAGGAGAAGUCACAUUUAGUAGGAAGUUGCCGUCUUCAAUUGUGUUUGGAUUGUAAAUUUUUGGAAUUUUUAUAGAACAUGUACUAAUUUGAUGUAUGUGAAGUAAAACAGCGAGUGAUUGAGAAGUGUGUUCAUGGAAAACAUAGAGAUUUUUUAAUAAAACAAGGCGCAACAGACAUUUUUUACGGUAAAGCACAACGGACAUUUUGCAAUUGAAAACUCUUUGUACAAUGUCAUUAAUUAUUGUUAUAUAAACGUACGGUUCACGUAUUAGUGAUAUUACAACGUACGAAGUCCACCUCUCUUGUAAAGAGAUUUCCACGUGUGUAUUAAAUCACAAUUCACUAGCAAAAAAAAAAGGUAAGAAAUACUUGGUGGACUAUAGCUCAAUAGUUAGCACUGUAGCUUGGUAGAUCAUCUGAAUCCCUUUUUUGGGCUUGAAUUUAGAAUAAUGUAUUUGGAUAAAAUAUUAUUUGAAACACACAAAGCUAGACAUGAUUUUGCUAAUUGCCAAAUUUCUAUAUCAUCAUUUCCCUUUUCACAUAACUAGUAAAAUUUUAGUUUAUUCCUCAAACUUCUUUCCAAUAAAUUAUUUCUGAAUAGCUUCUAGAAGUACGUACUUGGAUUGAGUCCACGUACAUAGAGUGACUGAAAAUCAUGACAUCGGAAGCAAUAAACACAAAUAAAAGAAUUUUCAAAUCAGGAAUGCGGACGACGCUGCCUGCGUUUGAUUUUUUGGCGAACCAUGCGACCCGGACCUGGACCAUCUUGGAACAACGAAUCCUUGGACAUUUGCUGGCCCAUGUAGAAAGCUUUAGCUUUGUCAAUCGGCUGUGUGAUAUUGCCUAGAAUUCCUUAGACUAGAGAGGCUGAAUCAGAACAUGACCCCAUUUGUUUCUUAGGCCCAUUAGUCCAAUUGGACCAGGCAGUCAAGGGAUUUCGAAUUUUGGGGGCAUGAUAGCAAUCCACUCAAAUCCCUUUUUGAAAAAUUUUUUUUUUUUUGGUUGUGACUUGUUAGAGCAAUAGGCAAUCCCUCUUUGGGACAUGUUUCCGCCUUUUUUGGAGGUUUUGUUAUGAUAAGCAAAUAAAUCAUGAACUAUGUACACAUAUUCUGCUUCUUCCUAAACUCACGGAACUGAUCACUUAAGGGCCACGUACACCAGGAAGGGUAUUUAAGGCAACAAAGGAAAGAUUGGAAAUUACAAAUCUUGUGAUGCCCACCAGCGUCACUUGUAACCAAACUGCGAAACAACAAACAUACAACAAAUUUUCACAUUUUGGAUUGCCUUUGAUAGUAGAAAUUUCAUGUUUUGAUAAGCUCCAAUUAACAGGUCCGUUUGGAUUUCUCAUUUUUUAGAAAAACAAGUUUUUUAUAUAUAAUAUUACAGUAAUAUACAAAUAAAAAUAACUCUAAAAACAUUACACCCAUAUAAUAUAUUAAAAACAACUACAAAUAUACAAAAAAAUAUAAAAAUAAAAUUUAUAUCAUUUUUUUUCUUGCAUCUAUCACUACUAUCCACCACCGCCACCCUUACAUCCACCGCUAUCAUUCCCUCAUUUCUCAUCUUUUCUCUAUCUCUCUCUUCCUCCUCCUCUUCCCUCUCCCUCCCGCAUUCUUCUUUCUCCUUCCCUUCCUCUUUCCCGCUGCACCCCACCCCUCCCCUUCCUCCCAAAUAUGGCAUCAACCAGAGGUUGUGAUCCAGUCGCAGCCGAAUCGAGACCAGAAGGACUGCAGUCUAGUCGUGAUCAAAGGGUUAGAUCGAGGAGAAAGAGGGAAAGAGGAGGGGUGAGGCAUGACAGGGAAAGGGAGGAGGAGGAGAAGAGAGGAGGGAAGGAAAAAAAGGGAGGAGGAGUAGGAUGGAGCGGAUGGUGGUGAAUUUUUAAAAAUAUGGUAAAAAUUUUUAAGAUUUAAAAAUGCUUCAAAAUAUAUGUCAAAAACAUCAUGAAAAAACAUUUACAGUAAAUUUAUAUAUAUAUUUUUAAUAAAAUAUUUCAAAAACAAAUCUAAAAUUAGUUAAUCCAAAUAUAGCCAACAUUUUCUAGCAUGCAGAGAUAUGAUGCAUGCUGCCCAAUGGAAAAAAAAAGAAGAAGAAGAAGAUAAACACCACUGAUAUAUGGUAGGUACUCUUUUUUUUACGGAAGCUAGAAUUAUAAAUCUAAUUCCAUAAGAAACCUCAAAAGCCGGCAACUCUUGAAGUCCUCCCAGGACUUAUAAAUCUAACUCCAAACCCCCCAAGAACCGAUGUGAGAUGUCAACCCCACAAGGGCUUAUAUGGUAGGUACUCCGCUAGGCAGGAUCCAUUACAGUUACUGUGGGAAAAGCGAACGGUGAUUGAUCCUGAUGUCAUCAUUGGGAAUUUUGUUCAUCAGAUGUUAGUUAUGUACUGCGCGGGUAAGUAGUUUCGAUUCGUGGAGCACUUGGUAGUGCUCAAGGAGGCGUGUAAAUUUUCUUUGAUAUUCUUGCAAAAUCCAUGAGACUCUAAAAUUACUCAACUAUUUAUCCAAAUUGUGAACCUGUGGCGUGCCCCGUUGAGCUCAAGUUUUAACAGUCGACAUCAAAAUUCUAUCCAAGAUUAAUUAUUGUCAUAACUCGGAAUCAACAAAUACAAUAAGGAUUAAUUUUUACGAUACUGUCAGUGUAUACACUGAUGAGAUUGGAUGAAUAUCAUAAUAUUUGAAAUUGUUUUAAAUAUCAAAUUCUGUACAUGUGAUAUGUAUUUAGAUUCGUUAGUGUAUAUAUUGUGAGUGUAUAAAAAGAUUUAUAUAUACAAUAAUGGUUAAACUGCUUCACAAAAUUCUGAUUGACUUCCAAGUAGCCGUCAUUUAAGUCCUAAAUCACCAGCCCAAGCGGCCAAGCCUUAAAUUUACUUCAAUUCUGCAAUGCACGGCCGGUCCAUCUAUAGAGCAUAGACCUUUUACCCGUUUCACGUAACAAAAAAUUUCGAUAAUAAUAAAGGUCAAAAUUUGGAUAGAUUCGAUUCUUGAAAAUACAAUAAUCAAGAUUAAAAAUAAUAAAUCUGUGUCACGACACUUAGUGAGAUAGUACGAGACAAUUUGGACUAUUAAAUUUUUAAAAUUCGAGUUUAUUAAAGUAUUAGCUGAUACUAAAUAUAAACAAAGCUUCAUCUCUAAUCUUCUAUCAAGAAACACUCUAAAGUGCAAAAAGUAACAUACUUACAACAAGAGUUACGGGCACCCCAUACUCAAAGCAAUCCUCCACCCAAUUUGCAGUAAUUGCAAAAAGUAAUUAUCGUUUGUACCUAAUUUCGGCUCUAAUGCACUAUCCAGAUCGGGAUUAAUUUGACAGAGACGUAUUCCAGAAACGAGGAAACAAAUUACCUCACAAGCGCAGCAAAUUUCUGCAUUACUCAUUGCAAUAAACAUUCCAAACUCCGUUAUUUAGUCAAAAAAAGACGCCAACCUUAAUUGUCUUCGUGGGGAAAAAAAAACAAAGAUAAAGACCAAAUUACGAGCUGUCGGCGCAAAUAGUUGGCGGACGGUAAAAUGAAUGGAACUGUCCUGUGGCAGCUGACAUCAUAGAGUCCAUCAUGAAUUAUGCGCGGUCCCACCUAAUUGAAUGUCGCCAACCACAUUUGGUCUCAUGUCCUCGGCAUCACAGCCCUACAUGUCACAACGUGGUGAACAUCAUUCGGGAUCGACGGCCAGUGAUUAUUUAAGUUUAUGGAGAUUUGCGCAAUGAUUGAUGAGCUUGUGAUGUUGCCACCUGAUACAAUCUCUCGGUCUGCGUACCCCCUCAAACAAAUACUCCCUCCCUUCUUUUACAACUGACGUUUAAGAAAUUUGCUUUUAAGUACUUUUAUCUGUCAUUUUAUUAUUCCUAUGCAGCAUUAAUUAUUUUUCACAAUUUUAUCAUUUUAUCUCUCUUUUCAUAAUUGGUGAGAGUUAAUUUGCAUUGCUUUUGACCUAAUAAAAUAUAUGUACCAUUUAAUAUUCUAGUGAGAGAAAACAUGGGUGAAUUGGAUAAUUAAUGAGGGUACAAAAGGAAAGUAGUGUAUAGAUUUAAACAAUGAAAAAUUUUUCUUAAUUGGUGUGCAAAAUCUUAAACGUCAGUUAUAAAAAAAGGGAGGGAGUAUUUGGGAUGGAUCGUGUGGUUCCAAAAACCAAAAAAAAAAAAAAAAGAAAACGAAAAGAAGUGUGAGUGAUAGGUUUUAGAUUCAAAAACUCCUUUCGAUUAUAUCAUUAUAAAAAAAAAAAGAAUGGAUUUGAGUACGAGUCAUUUGUCAACAAAUUAUUUGCUUAUAUCAUAAACGUAUUUAUCCUCCUACAAUUAGCCAUUUAUAAAAAAAAAUUUGCGACAAAUGUGUACAGCGUUACAUGAAAUAUAUAUUAUUGUGUGCUACUCAACCUUUUCAGAUAUUGCGGGUGGACUUCGUACGUUUCUAAUACGGAAAGGCGUGUUCCCAUUUGGGGUCAAAGUUCAAAGUCGUGGAGCUGUUAAAACAUGAAAUAUAUUAAUAUUAUCAUUAUUCCAGGACCUGGUCACCGCACGGAAUGACUUUGGUAGAUGGAAAAACCCGUCGUGUCAUAUUUCGGGAAGGAAAGUAGUUGGAAAUCUGAUUUAUUUAUGGUAAAGAAAUGAUUUUUUAGGAUAUCAUAAUUUCAAAUACAUCUCAAGUCAACACACUCGAAAAAGAACUCUUUGAACAUUGAAGAAAGAAAAAAAGGAUGAUACUCGGGAUAGAAAGUAUUACCAAAGGAUUUAUACAGGCAAGGAUAAGGAGAUGUGGAUGUUUUUCUGGAUAUGGAAAAGAAGAUGCAUUUGUUAGCUUUUCAUGUAAUAUAAAAAAAUGGUUUCACAUAUCAAAAUAGGAAUUAGGGGAGCUACACAGAGAUUCUUGAUUGAAUUCAAUCAAACAGCUUCAUAACUAUAGAAUGUUUUGUCAAAUUUAUAGAGGCAAGUUUUACCUCACACUCGAGGCUUAUAUCAUCUACAUGAAGCAUCUUCUGUUAGAACAUGCAUGUAAAAUUAAAAGCCAAAACUGGAAACAUCCUCUGUUUCCUCCUCUAUAUUCUGUACAAACCAAACCAAACAAUGGAAUGCGAUGCAUAAUAUACACCAAAUAAUUACUACUUCAUCAAGUACAUGCUAGUGUACAAGAUUACUUGGAAACAUAAAAAAAAAAAAAAACCCAAUACACCAAAAUUUACCACGGCAAGCAAAAGAAUGAAAACAAGAAAAAGAGAGGAAAUCGUGCAGGAGGGAGGCCACGAAUGCCAUGCUAAACAUGACAAAUAAGGAAACAGUUAAAGAAAGAUGGUGGUGGGCUCAGGCUAAAGCUAAGUUGCCAGCCGUCUCACAGUUUUGUGAAGCUAAUUAAAACCACUGCCAAGGAGAAAAUGGAGCAGUGAAAAAAUUGUUAUUGGCUAAUUGCAAGAGGGAUGGGGAAAUGGGACUAGGCUUGUAGGAGAGCAGUACUACUGUUCCCAUCUGAAUUCAGAAUCCGACCUUUCCCUCCGAUCAAUAAAUCUAUUUUGUCAAGAAUCCCGACUCCUCAAUUAGUACCAGCCGUACUAUUAGUAAUUAGACUUGUAGACUCAGUGGUCACUCCUCGCCACCUUCUUCCCCAUCUCUCGCUCCUCCUCCAACCAUAUUAUGCUCUUUUCCCCUUAAAUUCUGUAACAGAAUCUGAUUCCAAUCUCAACCCAAAAACCUUUUCCUCUUCCCACCUCCAGCCCUUGUCCAAAGAUUAAAUUUUGAUACCAAUUAUCCAAUUUCUGUCUGAGGUAUUAUAACUUUUACGGCUAUUAAACAUAAACAUUACCCCACAACCUUAUUAUUUCCUUACUCCUAGAAUCACAGACCAAAAUUUUGUCUUCUCCAGCUUUCUUUGAUCGGAGAGUCUGUGUCUUUAUGAAAAGAUUGUCUUUUUCUUAUCUCUGCCUGUAAUCCAUUCUACGUGCAAGGAAGACUGGAAAGGUACGACACGUUAAACAAUUGCCUAAAGAAAAAGGUUUUCUCUUUCCUUCUUGCCGUUCUCCCCCUUUCACACGCACAAACAGCACGAACGUGUGAACCUCGCAAGUGAACGUGACGGAUUCAUUCCUUUUAAUGCUGUUAUUUUUUCUGUUGUUGUCUGCUGUAAAUGGGUUUUAGUUUUUUUUGCUGGUUGGAAUGAUUUCUGAAGUUCUGAGGCCGAUUUCAUUAAGAUUUUUUUGCUGAGUCUCAGGAUCUUGUUUUGGAACUCUUAAUGUACUGAAUUUAAGAUUGGGUUUUUAUGAAGUGGGUUUUUCAGAACGUCUUUAUACAAUUAAACGGUUCAUGUAUUACAAUUUAGUGGUGCUGGCAAAUCAAAUUUCUUGUUGCUAAUAGUUUGUCCGGUUAUUGAGAUUUUAAUCCUAGUGAGGAACGAAUAUCAAUAGCAUUUUGUUUUGACUUUGGGAAAAUUCUUCUUCUUUUUUUUCCUCCUCUCUGUGAUUUAUUUAGCAUUUCUUUCUUUUACUUUCUUAAAUGAAAAUUGAUGAAAGAAACUACAUGUUUAUCAGCUCCUGCAUGAUACGUUUGUGGCCUUAUUGCUGACUCUGUUGUUUGGUAUGCUAACCAUUUUCGAUUUUCCUGACGUAAUAUGGCCGUCUUUUUCUGUCUAUUUAAUUACUUAACGGUGAAUACUCCAACUAAAUCAUCUCUCUGUUUAGUUGUUUACGGAGUGCUCGAGUUUUUUUUAAUCAUGCUGAUUAUUUAAAUAGGCAUAGACUAAGCUUUUGUUUUAUUUUGAACCAUGAUUGAUCAGCUAUUGUUGAAAGCUACAAAUUACCGUACCCACUCCGAAGCGGCAUUGAUCCUUCUUUGGCCAUUUGGUUCAGAAAGUAGAGUCCAAUAAAAAUCCAUUAAGGACCAGUGACAGUAAAUUACAUUUCGUUGCUGAAUUGAUGAGAAAGUGAGGCAAACUGAACUCAUGAUAGACUUCAGCCAUGGGGUCCUUGAACAUGGAGAAGAGAUGGGUUUUUCCUCUUGCAAUCAGUUCACUGGUAUGCCUUUUCCUUAUUGCAACCUCGUUCAAUAUGGGGAUGGUUUCAUCAUUGCAAAGCAUCAACUCAAUCUUCUCAAUGUUCCCCUCUCGUGCAACUGCUAAUCAAACGAGCCAAUUAUUUGUUGAAGCAAAGGUUAACCAAUCUCCACCACCUCCAGCUGCUCCACCAGUUCCGCGUUUUGCAUAUCUGGUAUCAGGAUCAAGAGGUGAUCUAGAAAAGCUUUGGAGAACUCUCCAUGCAUUGUAUCAUCCACGGAAUUAUUAUGUUGUACAUUUGGACCUGGAAUCCCCUGCAGAGGAGAGGCUGGAGCUUGCUUCUCGGCUUGAGAAAAAUCCCAUAUUUUCUAAGGUUGGGAACGUAUUCAUGAUUAAAAAGGCUAACAUGGUUACUUAUAGAGGUCCCACCAUGGUCUCUAAUACGCUUCACGCUUGUGCCAUUCUUCUCAAGAGACACAAGGAUUGGGAUUGGUUUAUUAACCUAAGUGCUUCAGACUACCCAUUGGUGACUCAAGAUGGUUAGUUUUAUUGGAAAUUCACCAAUUGGUAUUGAAGUGUUUGUGCUGGAGAUUGCUCUUAUUGUUCUUCAUUUCAUUCAAGUCCUUGAUUUCUCAAUUUUGCCCUUGCAGAUCUUCUGCAUACCUUUACUGGUUUAAGGCGGGAUUUGAAUUUCAUCGAGCACACUAGCCGAUUGGGCUGGAAAGAGUAAGCUCUCUUGGUGCGUUUUUUGUUUGGCUCAUGCAUCUAUCAAGAAAUGAAUAUCAGCACCUAAUACCAUUACAUUGGGUUGUGUUUCAGGAAUCACAGGGCAAUGCCGUUGGUCGUGGAUCCCGGGCUCUACCAGGACACAAAGUCUGAUAUAUUCUGGGUCCAACCUAAGAGAACUUUGCCCACUGCAUUUAAGCUCUUUACUGGUUAGUUUUUUUCAAUAUGGCAAAUUUUAUGUGCCGAUGUACCAUGUCAAGAUAAGUGCCCCUCUGCCAAAGAAGUGGUCCUGAAAGCCAAACCUGGCCUCUUACCAUGGCCAAAUUGUAUUUUCCUAUUGACCGUCCAAUUCAAUCAUUGCUUUUCCUCCGCUUGGAUAAUUGUCUUUCUCCAUAUUCUGAUAUCUUCUUUCCUCUGCAUAGUUCCUUUCUCAGCCAUGCAGCGUAUUGAGUUAUAGCUUGUAUCCCUGAUGGGUAGUUCAGUUGCUGAUUGCAUAUGUCUUUCUCUUACUGGGAAAUUAGGCUGAUAUCUUUUCCAACUGUUCUGCAGACCACCCUGCUUUUCUUGUUUCCUAUCAAUGUUAUCUCUCCCUUUACAACCUUCUUUCAAUUUUAUCCUUGCAGUAUCUGUCUACAGUGUUUUGUGUAUUGAAAUUGCUGAUUGCAGUAACUCGUAACAGAGUUCUGAAGGACAUGUAGGCAAAUACACAAAACAAAACUUAUUGCAAAUUGUGCUCUGUCGGAACUUUUGUUGUAAUGGUCUUUUUUUCUGAAACAUGGAACGGAAACUGUUGGUGAGGUUGAGGUUUUAGGAUUGAAACGUUUCUCUCUAGAGAUUUUACCUAUUUUAUCAUUUUCUAAGAGCUGUGGCCUAGCUUUACACGAAUUCCCUCUUUUACAGGUUCUGCAUGGAUGAUCCUGUCGCGUGCUUUUGUGGAGUACUGCGUCUGGGGUUGGGAUAACCUUCCUAGAACUCUACUAAUGUACUAUACAAAUUUUGUAUCCUCUCCUGAGGGGUAUUUUCAGACAGUUGUUUGCAAUGCCCCAGAAUUUGUACCCACUAUUGUCAACCAUGACAUGCACUACAUAGCUUGGGAUAAUCCCCCAAAACAGCAUCCGAAAACCCUCCACCUGAAUGACACAGCUCCAAUGAUUGCAAGCGGUGCUCCAUUUGCUCGUAAGUUCAGGGCAAAUGAUCCUGUAUUAGAUAAACUUGAUAACGAGUUCCUCGGUCGCAAAAAUGGUAGCUUCACACCCGGUGGUUGGUGCCGCGGUAAACCUCGUUGCUCGAAGGUUGGAAAUCCUGCGAAGCUGAAACCAGGCCCUGAUGCUGAACGCCUGCGCGGUCUAGUAGAUAAUAUAGUUUUGUCCCCAAGAUUUAGUGAGAAUCAGUGUAAGUAGAUUAUAGUGUAUCAUUCUUACUUGCAGAUUAAAAAGGGCAAGCUAAAUUUACUUCCAUAAGCCCCAACGAUUCUUUGUUGGAAGCUGGAGUAUUAUAACAAUGACACUGCACAGUUAACAUCAUUUUUCUUUGAUCGUAAAAACGCAGCUUUCUCGACUGCAAUGGUAAUAAUACCUGCUUCUGGCAUCACCGUACAUGUUCCUAGUCCGUUUAUCCGAGGAUCGGAACAUGUUUUUCUUUUCUUUCUUUUGAUGUGGAUUUGGAUCUGUGUUCGUGAUCACUUGUUGAAAACAAUUACAUCCGCGUCAUUUUUUGACGAUUUCUUGCUGGCAAACAGUUACAGAUCAGCCGACGCAAAACUUUAUCAACGACAAAAGUCGCUCGGCAGCUCAGCCGACGCAAUCUUUAUAUGGUAUUGAUGACCAGGGUUCUCAAUGAAUCUAGUCCAAUUUUGGCAUAAUUAAGUAGUACUCAUAUUAAUUUAUUAAUUAAUUUUAUCAAGUUUAAACUCGAGAGAUUCUUAAUGUAAAACUCAAAUUCAAAUUCGAGUCCAGUGUAGUCGGUUCUUAAGAAGGAACCGAAUUUCACACUAGUUGCGCUGUUUGUUACCAUCAAAGACUAAAAUCUUAAUGGCUUGGGAGAUCAAAUGUUCAAAAUUUAUUUUCUAUCGCUUGUCAUUGUACGUGACUUCUCUAAAUCUAUACGAGUGUAUAGUGCAUCCGUUUUGAUUCGACGGUAAUUCAAUUUUCGUCGAGUCUCUAACGGGCUCGAGCGUAGAAGCAGAAUAGAUAAUGCUGAAUGGUAAAAAAAAAAAAAAAAUGCACUUUUUAACUCAUUUUCUAAUACUAACUUUUUAUAUUUUCCAGUUGUCGGUGGGGAUAAUUGGAUGGACAUAAUAAGCGGACACGGUACUCGCAUCUGCAUACUGGUGGCCUCUUUUCCUUUACAAUCACCUGAAAAGAAGUCACCCACCAGAAAGAAUGUCACGUUUCUGGAAGUUCGAGUCAAUUAUAUAACCCAACAUAUCAUUCUCACGGAAAGAUGCUUUUCGCACAUGUGAUAUACCAGUAACAAGGCAAAUUCUACGGUAGGGUAUAUGGCACUGUGAUAAACCACAGCUUAAAAACAAAAAGCUUAUCACAUGAUAGUAAUAGAUGAGACCGAUCAAACAUUUAAUUUGUCCUGGUUUACCCGGAUGCCACAUUUUUUCUGUCCCACCAGAAAAUUUUCUAACUAGUGUGAGUACCCACCACCCCCCCCCCCCCCCAAAAAAAAAAAAAAACCCCUCGCACGCUUCUCUCUCAAGAGUCGCCAUGACUAUCGCGAAUCAAUUAUUCAAUUCAAUUCAUCGUGGGCUAAUUCAAAUUUUUAUUUUCCUCUCUCUUUCCGUGGCUGUCCUUCUUCAAGUUCUGGUGCAUUCGAUACCAUUUAGAUUUCAUGUGUCAAAGCACUGGCUUCACUAACUGUAAUAACCAACAUCUUCUGGGUCGCUAAUGCCACGCAACUGUGGCAGGUCAGAUUUGACCAAUCAAAAGUUAGUUUGUCUUUGGCUAUGGCCGAAAAGCUGCUAAAAGAGGUUCGGAAUUAUAAACCCAUUUCCAUCUUUAGGAACCCGCCUUUACCACUUCCCCUCUGCAUUUGACCCAGAAAACGGCGUACAUCAAGCCACCAAUCCUCCCAUUCCAAACAUACAAUCCACUUCUGAAUGAUCGAGACAAAGGAAGUUCAGAAUUUAAUCACCAUCCAAUGCAUCAAAUUGUUCCUCUUGGUAUAGCAAUUAUAAGAUCAGAACAAAUUUCACAUCUUGGAGGAGGAGGCUGGGAGAGAAAUGGGGAGACUCUUACUCCAGAUUGGAAGGGAGAUGGGAGCGGGGAGAGGGCUGGAGCACCAAAGCCAUGGCGGUAAAUAAUAGUAGGUCAUUGGCUGUGUAAAGGUAUUUUAGGUUUAUAGAGUGAAAUUGUUGCUCUGAGUCGCUAUUGCCAUCCAUUGAGUCAAUAUCAUAAUACAUAUAUAGUAGUAUAUUCUAUAUCAAUGAUUGCAAUUCUAAAAAUUACAAGAAUAUACAUAGAAAAAUCAGCGUUUUAUCUUUCCUUUCGGGCUCCUCUUUCUAUUUCUUAUCUACAGUACACUUGAACAAUGACGAAUCUCAGUGCUCCAGUUAACCAUCCGCUAUUCUACUAAAAGGCAAAAAUUUGUUUUGCAGGCUGCUGUUGAUGUUCCUAGUGACUUCAACCUUCAGUGGAGCAGGCCUCGAUAAAAUGCUCCUUGGGUAUAAGCCACUCUUUUAAUCUGUGUUUCCGCUGAUGCUGUAUUCCAUUUUCUCUCUCUUUUUUUUUUUUUGGAAUUCAUUCUUUAAGACUUAGCUCAAACCAUCUCCAACAACUUGAUAUUUCCCGUGGAGUUAGCAGCAACUAAGGUGGAGGAUGACUGACCACGCCAACACACAGAGGAGAUAAACUGUGCACUGUCGUCCACUUCAUCACCCGAAAGCGGAUCUGUGAUGUUAAAUUUAUAUGACAACGCAGGCAUGGGAAGAGCUUUGUGGUAUACAAAAACCUGUAACCAGAAAACCAAAGACAAAACUACAUUUACCAAUCACUGAACAGGUGAUCAUUCACUGCUGUACCAUAUAACAUACCAGUAAAUUGGCUUAAAAGAUUUUGUGAGGGACUGGAGGAAUAUGACAGAACAAACAUGGGAUGUAACAAACGAGGGUGACUCCACCGCAGUAAUUCGACCUUUCGUAAUCAUCACAUAGAGCUGUGAAGGGGGAAGUGCUGGCAACAGAUGUGAACUCAAACUGACUUUUCAGGAACAAAGUAAAUGUGAACCCACCCUUCCAAGACCAGAAAAAGGUAAUUAUGACUAGACAUUCUUGAGGCAUUUAGUAGCAUACAAAGCAGAGAAACUUUCAGUGCAAUGCAGAGUUUAAGGAAGAAAAACCAAGGACAAUCAUACAUAACUACAGCAGAAAUCAAAAUUAGAUCGUGUAAACUGCUGUGCAAAGCAUGGGAUACCUCAUUUGUCUCUGAUCCCGUUGCAAUGUAACCAUCAGAUACAGAUAGGCCAACAAAGUUCUGCAACAAAGAUGUAUCCACAUUAAGGAUGAAAACCAUAGAUGUUUCUAUAAGCAGAAUUUGGGUUUUACCUCAACUUAAUGAUCAAGAUGCAUAUGCAACAAAAUGAAUCAAUGAAUAUUAAAACUAGAGGGAGAACAGAAGGAGGGGGGGGGUGUGUGUGUUAGGAGGCUAGGAGCAAUGCAUAUGCACAUUCUUCCUCUCUUUUCUAACAACCUUAUUUUCUUUGCUUAUUUUUAAUAAUUUCAUUCCAAAUAACAUCAAUUGCUGAUAAAGACCACUCCCAAAACCUCAUCCAGACUUUAUUUUCUCAAUAUAGUUGGAAAAAAAGAUACUGAAUACAAAAGCUAUAUGUAUUUUGCCUCUCACAAUGAACUAAUCAUCUCAACGGGCCUUGGAAAGUAUAAUGAAAAAGAACUUGUAUGCAUUAUAGUAAUUCCACUGCUUAGAUGAGCUGAAAAUUGAAAGAACUGAAAAGAAUGUCCCGUUUGUAACCCUACUGCCUAGUUUGGGAGAUGAGAUCUGAGCGGAAAAGAAACGAAGGGAAGAAAAAAGUAGGUAUUUCCCACGUUUGAGAGUUUUAGUGGAACAGAAAGGAAAAGAAUCCAGCUGAUUUGGAAGGAAGAAGAUCUGCUACAGUUAAAAAAAAUUUUCCAUCCCAAAUCGGCCAGAAAGCGAAGGAAAGCUACGGAAAGGCUACAAAAAAAUUUUUAAAUUGCCCAUUCUAUCCUUGAGAAGCUAUUGAAUGGAAUAUUUAUUGACCAAUGCGUCCAAAAUCAUCUCCUUUCUUUACACAAACUCCCAAACAACAUUAAAAUCUCCUCUCUUCUUUUCUUAUCAUUUCUUUUCUCUCAUAACUUAACCUUUCUCUUCUUUUCUUUUCUAUCCUGAACUCCCAAACUAGCUUUAAAUAAAGAUCAAUUAUCAAUGAUAGCAAAACUAAAUUUGUUAACACAUUUGCCUGACCUUAUCAUACUUGAUACCAUACAAUUUUAGUUAUAUAUCAAUUUCAAUGAGAAUACCAAAUGAAUUGAAAUGAUAUAGCAGACACUAAGUCAUGAUAUUUCUGUAGGGCCACUUUACUAAACAAAAUGGAAAAACUCAAUACAAAGACAGCAUAGUGGUAUUCAAUCGUCAGAAUUAACCUUUAACUGUCCCCAACUUACUCAACAUCCUGACUAAAAGACCAAGCUACAAUUUCUAAAAUGAUACACAAUAUCAAGCAAUAAAACAAAAAGCUCUACCUUCACAUUCAAGUGCCCGGUGAAUGACUGAAGGGGACAAUCAAGAACCCGAGCUGUGCACAUUGACAAGUCCCAGAGCUUCAAUGUGUUAUCUGUAGAUGCAGACACAAGUGUUGUCGAAUCUACGAACUUAACAUAGCUCACAGUCUUGUUGUGUCCAAUCAACGUGCAGAGAGGCAUCUUAGAAUUGCGUAGAUCAUAAUAGUAUAUCUUAUGGUCUGCUGAUCCAAAUGCAAGGCGACGACUGGAUUCAAAUGGAAACUGAACACAACAGACAUUUGCCUUUGUCUUAAUGGUACCGAUGCUUACUCCCUGCAGUAGCAACCCAUGUAAGAAAAACAACUUAUUACACAUCAAGAACCCAGCCUAUACAGCAAUAACAAUUAGAUGACUGUAGUACGUUUAGUUUCAAAGCUGACAUCCACCAAGUGCAAAAAUAGAAUUGCCUGAUUGAUAUUCCAGAGCUUAACAGAACCAUCAUCACUCCCGCUAGCCAGCAAUGUUGGAUCAGCUACUGAGUAGUCAACGGACCAGACACGGCUCUCAUGCUCGCUCAUUUCCAUAAAGAUUUGACUUCUUGUAACGUCCCAUACCUGAAAAUAUCUCAAGGAGACGAGCCAAUUUUUAAUUUUUUCUUAUUCUUAAAAAAAAAAAAAAAGUGGACAAGAGUUCAAGUCUAUUGAUUUACCUGAACCACACCUUCAAAGUUACUGGAAGCAAUCUGGCUCUUAAUAUAUCCAUUCCAACAUAUACUGCUUAGCUUUGAUCUGCUAGCCAUUUCAACAACAGGAUAAUGGAUAUCACGGUCUUUGUUUAGAAUCGAAUUAUAUUCAAAGACUUUGAUCUUCUUAUUCACACCAGCAGUUGCAAAAAACUCUCCAUCACGAUCAAAACUCAGGGAGCAUACAAGGUUGGAAGAAUUUAAAAGAUCUCCCUGCUUCAAGUCUGCCUUCACCUUUAACUUGCUAAAUGACAAAUACUUGCACAGACCCUCAAGAAAUGAAUUUAUCCAUCCACUUUGUCUAUCCUCAUUAUAUUGUUCUUUUGAUGACAACUUACUGAGAGAACUUCUUUCUGUCGCUACAACUGAUCCUCUUGCAUCACUACUAAUUGGAGAACUUCUGGCAUAUACUUUUCCAGAUGGUUUGAGAGCCCGCCGCCUAGUUAAAAAGUAAGCUGACUCCAAUUUUCUAAAGUUUUUCAUGAGUCGGGAACUCUUAGAAAGAAUAGUUGCUUGGUUUUCUGGAACAGGAUCAUCAAGUUCCUCCGCAUUAUGGGUAUAAAGCCCAGGCCUGCAUCGUUUUCUCGACCCUGAGCUACCAGAAUCACCCUCAUCUACUGUAUUGGAUGAAGGGGGCCCUGAAGCUGAAUCCUUCACCAGGUCUAUGCUUGUGCCUCCUUUUAUCCUAAGGGCAGUUUGCAAUUUUGUGACUUCUUCGAUAUCAGAAGUCAAAAAGGACACCAUUUCAUGCAAGUGAUCUGCUGCAUCCUGUUUCCUUUGCUUUAAUAGUAACAAAAAUUCCAGCAACAGCUCUUGUUCAUCUAUUUUUUCUCGAAGUUCUAUUGCUGCCUCACGUUCCUCAAUGUUGUCUCUUGGUUCAUUUAGAAAUUCGCUUUGCAACAACUCCCUGCAUCAUGUGAUUGAGUAUGGAAACGAGACCAAUAACCAAUUAUUGAAAGCAUAAAAUGUUGGGGAGAACCCAUACAAAGGCACAAAGACAACCAAGGGAUGUACUUUGCAAUAAAAGCCAGGAGAGGUAGCAUCUCAAGUCUUGAUGGUAGCCUUAAAAUCUUAGUUACUAGUGUAGAAAUAGCCUGAGACUAAGUGGUAACAGUAGUGCUCAUGCACUUCUGAAUUACAAGCUUAAGCAUCAGUCAGACCAUAAAUUUAUGCUAGUGGCCUGUCCCUCUCCUUUCUCUAAAUCUUUUGGCAAUGUCUGAGGACUAAUACACAUCCAAAGCAGCAAAAUGCAACAGAAGGAAAAAACAAACUACUGCAAGACAUCACAAAAAUUUUAGUGAGAGAUUAAAGGUACGUUUCAAGUCCAGAAGCCAUAAUUGGCUUCACACUCUUCCAGGAAACCCAAUAUGACAUGUGCUAGGGUUUCUGAAAAAGCAGAUUUUUGUAUGACGAGUCCAUUAGCACUAUAGAACACAACAUACUAAGAGUAUCCAUAUAUAUCCUUUUUAGAAGUUGGCUAUUAUGGCGGAUAACUUCAACCAGCAGAGAACAAAAACAUCUUUGGAACAGGUGAAGUUGAAAUGGUAAAAGUGCAGUAAAUCCCACCCCAUUUUUGGCCGACUACUUGGCUCAGGAUGCAACAACCAUAGGCAAAAUGAUGCUUCUUUAGGCCACUUCAAAAGCAACUGAGGAGGGAGAACACGAUGUCUCAGACUAGACAUAGUUGCACUUUUCUCUUCCACCGAGCUAAAUGUGCAGAACAACUGUUCAUCAGCAAAAUAUUUAUCAGAGAGGAAAGAGGUAAAACACAAGCUUAUUUAUUAUUCGAUACAACACUGAACUGAGGAGACCAUGAUUUACAGUAAGUCGUCAUUUCAGGAUCUCGGUAACUGAUACUAACCUCAAAGAGAAGAACCCCCAGUCGAUAAAUGUCUGAAGCACUGGAACUGGGGCCACCAGAAACUUCUUCUGGACAAUUGUACCAAUUGGUUUCCAUCAACAAUAUAUGUUUCAUUGGGAAGGAAUGCUUCCUUUCUUCCGUCUGGUCAUCAUUUGGUGCAACCUCAGCCUGUCUGGCGCUUGACCUAAUGCAACUUGUUUCAGAUACUAUUCGAGAUGCAUUUAGGGGAUUCAUCUCAAGUUGCAAGGUUUCAGUAGCUAGCUGACUUCCUCGUUGGGGCAAGUCUGAAGGCAAAGGCGAAGACGCACCUUUAAACUCAGCCGUCUGGCUGUUUGUUCCUUCCUCAAACGAAUCUGAACCCGAAUCCGAGCAAGAAGCAGAUUCAAUGAAAGACACACGGUUAAGUGAGGACAUGACAAAGCAUGAGGGCCGCACAUUAUGGAGGAUUAUUCCCUGAGAAUGAGCCAGGUUAACUAUAUCUACAAUUUGAGUAAAUAUGUGUAAGCAUUCAAGAGCAUCAACAGUUCUUUCUGGGUUGUCCAACCACUGUCUCAGACUGAUAUCAUUACAUUCUAUGGCACGAACAACUGGGUCCAGAGCUACUCCCUCCUCGAAGCCCCCAGUAUAGGUUUUAAACUGGUUAGUUAUAUGAGGUAGCACAAUUCUCUCCCUCACUUUUCUUCCUGGUCUAAACCCAAACUCAGACGACGUAUCUCCUGAGGACCUGAUAGUGUUGGCACGAACAAGUCGAAGAUUCCCCUCCAAAACCGAAGAAGAAUUUAAACCCCUAGAGCUAUCUGACCUCUGCCAGCCAGAUUCAGAUGAACCUUCCAUUAGUCUCCACCUCUACUAGGGUGAAGCCCAAGAAACACAAACCCAAGCCAAAGAAAAGGAAGAAAUCUUAGACCUUCAACACAUUCUUUGACUUCCACCACAGCCAUUUUCGAAUCAAAAACACAUCUUAACCACAGAAACCACCAAAACCUUUUAUUUGCCCUAAACCUCAGUGAUCACUUUACCACACCAAAACCUUCCUGCGAACGUUAAGAGAUGUAGAAAUGAGCAUAAAGCACCAAACUUUGAACUUUCCACAUUAAAGAAAGUGAAACUCCAUCAACAAACAAAACCCGUAGAAGAAAAUCCCAUAAACGCUAUUCAGAAGAAAAAAAGGCUAGAAAGAAAAUUUCAUACGGCCCAGAAGUAGUGACCAUGCAGUAUGAUUAUGCAUUCAAAAUCUUGUUUAUCAACACAACAACUUAAGUACAUACAUACACAGACGUAUACAUAGAGAGAGAGAGAGAGAGAGAGAGAGAUGGAGAUAAAGCAAGCUACCAGUUUAUCACCAAAAGGAAAGUCUGAAAGGUAGAAGCUGCGCGGAGCUUGUUGAGUUUGAGAUGAAGCAAUAGCAAACGAAAGAACUCGAACCACACACUAGAAACUUUUAACAAAAACAAAACAGGUGUGCUUUUUCCAAAGGAAGCACCACAGCCUCACAAAAUACAGAGGUAUUUUCCUCUCCAACACUACUGCAAGAGCAAACAAACAAAAACAAAAAGGAAAGAAUAAAGAAAAAAGAAGGUGGGAAAAAAAAGGAAACCCACAUAUGAAAUAUUUAACACCACCCUCCCGGCAAAAAAAGAGAGAGAGAGAGAGAGAGAGAGAAAAUCCUUCCUCACACAAAAUUCAGGCCCUGCGGGUUGAGGAUGUACUUGACCUAUUGCAUUGCCAUGAAAUGUCCGUAUUUUCAUUAAAAUUGUACAGUACUCCCAAUAUAUAUAUAUAUAUAUAUAUAUUGAAUACUAAUAAGUAGUAAUAAGCAAGCAUAACUAGAUUUGGUUGUCCGUUGGUUUAUUCUUUGUUUUGGAAAUCCUAGGGACCACUUGUUAUCUGCAAUGCCACUGACUCCUGAUUCAGUUUCAUCACGUAUACGUGGCUGAUUCGCAUCCUCAAACUCCCUGAAAUGGGAAAGGGGGGUAAUAGUGUAAAUUCACUGAACACUCUUGUGGAAUGUGGACCUAGCGUCGUCUGAAAUGGAUUCUUAUUAAAGUAGGAGUAAAAGAGAAUUACUCCUACUCAAGAUGUGAGCAGAGAACAGUCCCAGAUGUAUCUCCAAUUUCCAAUGACCGAUUCUCACUAAGUCCUCCUGUACUAAUAAGUUAAACCAUUUGACUGAUGAACCCAUUUUUUUAUUAUAAACUAAUAGCAGGAGUAUACCAUAAUCAUAUCUUUUCUCAAACUGAAUUAAGUAAUUUAACAAUCCCAUUAAAGCUAAUCCCCUCCUGUUCAUCACCAUUAAAGUUCAAACUGAGAACGAAAUUAAGCGGAAACGUCACAUCUAUUCUAACAAUAUGUUAUUAUGCAAACACAGGUAUAAUCUACUAGUAAUUAGAGAGCAAAUGAUUACAUUGAAUUGGAAAACGUACUAUUAAAAGAAAAAGGAGCAGUGCAACAAACCUUUACACCUGUAAGCCCGUCGUCACGAAGGUUCCUUUUUUGCUUCUUUUGCCUUUGUGAAAUCUUAAAAAACUUCCAAACCUAAACAACCGAGUUAAUUCUCGGUAACUCAAAAAAAGCGCACAAUCGCCUUUUCGUAACUGUUCAUAGAAAUCGAAACUUUAAGUUUUUUUUUUUCAAAAAAAAAGGAAAAAAAAUCUAGGUUUUAGGUUGAAGAAAACUAACCGCAGGUGAAAUUAUGAGCUCAAAGCACGAACGCUACAGCAUUGGAGCUCGUAACCGAGGUUGGAAGUUCAGAGUUCAGACCGUGUAAUGCUUCGAUUUUUUGUCGUUCAAUAUUGUAUUUACUCUAAUAUCGUGGAGCUUGUGAAGUUUCUCCUUUGUUUGUUUGUAGCGUGGGAUUGUGGUUCGGCGGCCGAGAGAGGCGGAGUGAAGGGCGGCGGAAAUGAGCAGCUUUUUUAAUAUGAUUAAUAUUUGAAUGGGGAUUGAUUAUUAUUUAUUGUUGGUAGAUGAGAAAUGUGAUUACAUGGAGAUUAAUACUACUAAGUAAGACGUGGUCGCAGGAACUGCACGUAGUCUUCUGAGUAAUUAAUUAGUUUUUUUUUUGGUUGGGGUUUUCAAAAUGCUGCUUUCGAAGUUUACCAGAUAAGGAAAAGCAAGGAAAAAAACACGAAGCUCUUCUUGGACCUUUCCUUGCUGGUGAAACGCCCGGGGCUAAGAAAAUGGUACUAAUAAGUAUAGAUAAAUGAGUUUAAAAUAAACUAUUGGCAAGUAGGUUUGAACUUUGAAUAAUGAAAGCCAUUUGGUUUUAGGAUCCGAGUUUGUUAGCAUUAGUACUUGUGUCCGGGUUAGCAAAUUAUAUGGGAAAAAAAAAAACUCAUUAGAUUACGUUUUUCAAUCUCUUUUUUUUUUAAAAAAAAAAAAAAAUUCAAUCAUAUUUUCUAUCUCCCAUAUUCAUAAAAAGUGCUUCAAUAUUGAUUUAAUAAACUGAUCUACAUAAUAUUAUAGAAAAUAUCAACUUGCCAGGAAGUUUAACAUAGGAUAAGAUUGUAUACUUCAUAGAAUCUCAAAUGUCAUCUUCAAGAUGACGAUUGCAACGUUCCUUUUUUUUUCGAAAACGACAACUAUUGUAUAACCUAUUAAUCCUAAAUUACAGGAGAGGAGGAGGCUAAAGAGAUUUUGUGUUAAGGAUUGGUAGAUACACAGACCUAGUAAGACGAUUGCAACCUUCCAAGGACCAGAAAAAUAAAAAAUGGGAAACUUUGGUACUUUUAUCAAAGAUGUGGGUGCGACUUGUAAACUAUUGCCCAAAAUAGGAAAGGGCAUGCUAAAAACAGCUAAAGUUGGAAUUUGGGUCUGAUCUUGGCGGGAUUCUAUGUGUAAUUCUUGUGUUGCACUAAGUGGGAGCUUUGCCCUCUGAUCAGGUGGUUGAUUCUGAACUUGGGAUUCAAGCCUGGAACAGUCUAAAGAUGCAGUUUUAUGGAAUACCAGACUGAUAUUAUGGAAGCCAUUGUAGAUGAAGUGAACAACACUUGCAAAUUUGGCAAGAAAAGGCUUUCCUUUUGUCUCAGGUAGCAGAUUCAACUUGGCAUUGCAGCAAGGACUAUCUAUUUCAGUUUGUAUUACCAGCAGAACUCGAUUCAGAUUUUGGACCAGCCAAACGAGCAAAUUCACCUUUGUGGAAGCUGCAUGUUUGCCCCUAAUAAGUCUGCUGUAUCAAUGCAUAUGCUUCCUGCAAUAUUCACAUCCGAGCAUCUUGGAAAAUUCUGGGCUACAAGCCAUAAAGUUCAAUUUAAAACUGACAAUCAAGCUCUAUAAAAAUGGCCGAUACUAUUCGCAUGCAGAGUUUGUUGAGCUACAAUAAAAUGCUUAUGACAGCUUAAGCAGGAGUGAGGGAACUACAACAUUUCCUAUUUAAUUCUUCUACAUCUGGCCGGCCAAACAACGGCCCCCAGCCAUAUUCGUGGAACUACCCCUAUACAGCUCCUCCCACUUAGCCAGAAUAUCUCAAUUGUACAACAGAGAGUGGCCUCUUCCCUUCCUUUUUGCAGUAUAGUUUGCCUAAUAACAACUCAUCGGCCAGAAACAAAUAGUGAAUUAAUUGAUAACUGGUUUCCAUCAGCCUGAGAUUUUCGUAAUUUUGCCUUGUCCAAGCGUGCUCGUCUUACAGCUUCUUGAACUUGGCGAUCAUGAUCUUUCAUCAUCUGGUCCAUUUUGCCUGAUGGUACUAUUAUCGGUCCUGAAUAGUGGAUUUUAUUGCCCUUUGACCCGUACCCAAUCUAAAUAGAGAAAGCAAGUAAGUCUUGAGCACAUGAAUACAUCAACAUCAAGAACUUUAUUUAUGAACAGCGCUAACAAAUUAGAGGUUCCGCAUUUUAUGACGAUAAAGGAUGCGAUAGUGGCAAUUAAAAACUAUCAUGUCAGCAGAGUUCUUACCAGAACGGGAUCGUUAUUGCUGGUUCUUCCAUCCUCAUUUUGAUAAGAUCCUGUGACCACUUGAUUCUUUUGAUCUUGCUUCAUUGAGGAAUUCGAUGUCUCCUUGAAAGAUCCGGGAAAUCUUGCAAUAAGUUUGGGAACUUCCUGCUGAGAAGGACCAGACUUCUCACUGCGUUCCUCAGAGAGCACACUCCUCCUUGCAGCAACUAAACCAGACAUUGCAGACAAGUCAGCUCCAUUUGAAAUCUUUGGAGCAUCUUCCAUAUUCUUUCCAGCUUUUGCCCAGGCAGCCCGGUGUACCAGUGGGCCAGAAUGGGAACCCCUCUUAUGGAGAUUGCCCUGGGGAUCAUUGCUUGCUUCAUCAACAGCCUGGGAUGGUCUAGGUGGGUCAAUUGGAAAACCAGAAGCAACUUCUUCCUGAUGAGAGUUGAACAUCUCACUUCUGCUCUUGGAAUUGGACUGACCUUGUCUUUUCUGGGUUCAGAAAUUCACCACAUAAAUUUUGGGCUUGCCCUUACAGAAAAUGCAGGAGGUCCUCCUUUAAAAACAUUACAACAGUUGUUACCUGCAUUGAAAGGACUAAUUCAGCAUUGGCAUCAGGUGCUGGAACAGCACGAGAUUCUCUUGUCCCUUUCCGUUCUUGAUCAUACCUGUGACCCUUGCUUCCUGCUGCCGCAUGUCUGUAUACAACAUAAAACAAAGUUAGCUACUGAGUCACCACUUUCACCAUUUAGAAAUUUGUUAAAGCAUAAACAAGACAGCAUGGCACUUUGUGCUAAUAAAAACUCAAAAUUCAGCAUUGAUAUUAAUAACAUAAAAAUACAAUAUUAAUUGAUCUUAAUCGUUCAAUUUACCUUCUAGCUUCUUCAUCCCGAACUUUCGCAUCAAACUCUUUACUGGGAGGAUACUUUGGCAAGCUCGAAGGAUCACAAGGAAGUGGUUUUGUUAUGAAGAACUGCAAAACCAAAUUAGACAGGUUAAGCAAAAAUUUCAACAAUUAAAUAUUUGGAAAUUUCUUUGACAAGUCAUUAUAAGCUAAUGAAUUGGUGAUGGAAUUGUUGAUGCAAGUCCAUGAAAUCUAUCAUAACUAUUACUGAUGGAAUGGGUACACAGUAUAAUGAAGUAAUAUCAUGGAUUCCAUUGGACGCAUUCAGUGAAUUACAUAUAAAAAUGCAUAACAUGGUUCAUAACAGUAAGUUAUGAUACUAAAUUUCAUCCAAUUGAUAGGAUUGAGAAACGAGAAAUAGAAUUUAUUGGGAUAGUAGAUAGCCAAGCCUUCAGUGGGCCUUUUUUUUGGAGAAAAUACGUAGAUGUGCUGUUUUUUUUUUAACCAAAACUUGCAAAAACAUGAGCAGAGAUGGAGAUCAUAUGCAAAUAAUCAACACACUUUCAAACUUUAAUAUGCAAAUAACACCAUGUUGCAGGUCUUGCUGUUACUCAAUGGUAUUAUUAUUCUACAUUGAGCGCUGGCGAGGAAUUCUACAAAGCUCCAUAACAUUUACAGUUAAUUCCUAUAAUCUCCUAUUAACCUCCUUUAAGUUGUUAAUUAGAAGUUUCUGGUUUUCCCGAGGUCCUUCAUUGAUCUUCCAUGCUCUCUUCUCUUUCAGUCUUUGCUGGAAAGAGAGGGCAACCUUGCAUCAAUAGUUUGUAAAAAGCUUCAUACCUCACUCUGGAGAGCAGAAGAUGCGGAUCCACGAUCAGCAGGAUCUAUAGAUAGUAGAACCUCCAUUAAAGCUAAUGCUGGUGCAGGAAAGUCUUUAAAUGUAUCUGCAACACAACGUUUAUAAGGUUGCUGGGGCUUAAAAAUAGUUGCAUGAGGUAACUUCGACUUUCUCCAGUACUCCUCAGAGGGUGAACCGCAAAGCUUGAAGAUUUUGUGUAACUGCUCAACCUACAAGGAUUGAAGCAAAUAUCUGCUCAAAUAUGCCCAGGAGGGGCCAAGGCAAAAACCAUAAGAUGAAAACACAAGUUAAAAGGUUAAAAAUACAAAAUUUUAUGACUAACUAUUGUCAAUUUCACUAACAGAUUGGUUCAAGAGAGCAACUUGUCAUUUAGUUUUCUCAUAAAGCUUCUUUUAUAUGAGAAUAUAAACAUUCCACCUUUCUUUUUUUCUUGUUUUGCAGUGAGGGAGAGAGAACCAAUGCUCACAAAAGAGAACUCUAUACCCUAUUUCCAAAGGGGCUUGUUUCAUAUCUGGAUAUUGGUCCUAUAUAUUAGGCAUAAGCAGAAUAACAAAUUAACAUACCUCUGUUCGUCCGGGCAUGAUAGGCUUGCCAGCAUAAAGUUCAGCAAGAAUACAACCAGUACUCCACAAAUCCACAGCAGAGCCAUAAUAAGUAGCCCCAAGUAGAAGUUCAGGUGGCCGGUACCAGAGAGUCACAACACGGCUUGUCAAGGGCUGGCUCUGAUGAGGAUCAAAGAAACUUGCCAGACCAAAGUCAGCUAUUUUCAGUAUGCCAUUAUUGUCAAUUAAAAGAUUGGAACCCUUUAUAUCUCGAUGCAGAACACCAUGCCUGUGACAGUGAUCGAGCCCACGUAGAAGCUGCUGCAUGUAACACUUAACCUAAAAAUAUAUAAACCAGACACUAUAUUAUCCCAAGCAUCCAAGUGGAGCAAACAGAAUAAUGUGCAGUUUUACUUGGGAAUUAUGAUGACCCUUAUGUCAUUCCCUUGUCUAGUGCUCAUAUAGCACAGAUAUGUCUCAUUCAGAUGUAAAAAGAUGCCGUUACUAUAUCGGAAGAUCUGAAUAAGAGUAACAAUUAUUUAUCAAGAUAGGGGAAAAAUAAAAUAGCAAUGCUACAAUAUAAGAGAAGAUUUUGAGUCACAAUUUGAAGCUCAAUGUCAAUACCUGUGGUUCAGUGAAUUUUAGCCCUGGGUGUGAUGCAAGACCCGCUAGGUCAUGCUCCAUGUACUCAAAAACAAGGUACAAGCUGCAAGACAUCCGGGAUGUAACUAGACCUUCCAACUUGAUUAUAUUAGGAUGAUCAAGCCUGCGAAGAAUGUGAAUUUCCCUAGCCAUGAAACGAACACUCUCAGGCUCCAGAUUGUCAAACCUUACCUUCUUCAAAGCCACAAUCUUGCCUUGAUCAAGAUCUCGAGCACGAUAAACAUUGCUAUAAGUUCCCUGGCCAAUCUACAUAAAUAGAAAAACAAUCAAUAUCCAGACUACCAAUUAGUAUCACUGACUAACACAAAAGAAGAGGGAUAGAUCCCAAUUUUUAAGAUAUUCAUUUUAGUAUAUAAAGGGACUGCAGCUUACUCAAUUUAGCAAAAUUCAGUAUCAGUAGAUAUUUUUCCCUCUUCUAUUUCUCUUGUUUCCUUUUGAUGGGAUAAGUGCAGCAACAGUAGAAUCAAUAAAUGCUUGAACUUAAGGUAAAAAUAAAGAGGUAAUAUCAUCUUCACAGUGUAAAGAUUAUGAGAUAAUCUGCAGCUUAUGUCAGCAAGCAUAUACACCUAGCAGAUGGGCCAUUAUUUCACUUGUCUUGUACUAAAAGAUUAACCAAACUUCCAAAACAAAUGUUUCCAAUAAAUUGGCAGUCCUUAAGAUUUGUCAGUUAAAACUGAAGAAAGACAACUUUUUAAUCAAAGGUACAGUCAAAAGGUAAGAAUCUUAAAGCUUGCCAAUGGCAAAUAUAAAAAAGGAAUGAUCUACUACAUUUCAGCCUUCUUUUUUACGUUUAUCUUUCUGUCAUUAGUCAGUCACUUCUUUCCUUCAGAUUCUUAAUUUUCUACAAUGAUCUAAAUCAUUGCCAAAUCUACCAAUUUGUUUUGAUAGAUUAUGCUUAUGCUGCUCUUUAAGUUCUUACAGCAAUUUCACAAAAGACAACUUGAUAGAGCACUAACUAUAAAGUAUGAUUUCCAUGUCUAAAGUCCAGUAACUAUAAAUGCCACACACAAGGACCAGGUGAAGUGUUGGAGACAGAACUAUGCAAAAAGAAGAUAACCUAUUUUAAUAUCGAUUGUUCAUGCACCUAAGAAUGUGUCUUGCCAUGGGACACCAAAAUAAAAUUUAACUCAACAAAAUCACAAUUCCAGAUUCGGUCAAAUAAGAUAUAUUAAUUCCUAGGGUCAAAAUUUGUUAACGAAAAGUAAAAGCUAUGUGGCCUAAACUAGACCACAAAUAUAGUAAAGAACAGAAUAUAAGAAGAAAGUGAAGUACAUAUUUGAACAAUAUCACAUGCUCAUUGAUGCAGAGAAAGCAAUGAAUGAAUGGGGGUCUUAUAGCAAGUAGCCGCCGGAAAAAUUAAAUGAUUCGACGCCAGGGGAGAGCAGAUAAAUUGUCAGGAACAUUAUGCACAUUCAGCCAUUUCAAGAAAAUACAAACUAUUUGGUCAGCAAAAGCAAUUCACAACUGCUAUGAGUAGAAUUAGCACUUUUUUAAAUUGUGAACAUACCAAUUUCUCAUAGCACCCAUCAAAGUCAAAUUUUUUAUUGCCUGGUAAGUACAAACCCUGGUUUAGGCUAAUCACUUCAAAAUUUGGAGAAUUUUUUGCAAGCUACACCUGUCUAGGAAGCAUGAGCAUUUUUAAGAGGGCAACGUAGUAUAGACACACAUCAGACUACUUUGUUCCUUAGUAUAAAGGAACAAGGCAUGGAAAAUGAUAAGCUUGUUACCAAGCAGGUCUAUUACUCUGUUAGGGUUAAAGCUGGAGAUGGGCCAUCUGAUUCUGAAUUUUAAGCGGCUGGAUCAAUAACCAUCUUAUUAUCUGUUCAUAUGACGGUGUAAAUUACUCUGUUAUCAAACUAAUAAGCACUCAAUCUGAUAUAGCCAAAUUGGAUUUUAACUUCUAUCAACACUGACUUAUAGCAAGCGAAAUAACAAAUAAAAGACAUGCAAAGAUUAAAUGCAACUGAUUUACUCAUUUCUCAAACCAUAUUACUGGAUAAUCCCAAAACUUGGUGCAACAAAGAAGCGUACUUUAUCCAACUUCUCAAAAGAAUCAGCACGCCUAGGCACCCAUCCUCUGAUAGCUUCACCAGCCACAGCAGCUAACCAGGGUGGCCAACCAGCAGCAACCUGCUCCCCUUCUGUAGCUCUUGGCAUUCUGCCCACUCCAGGAUGGCCAGAGGCUGUAACAAUAUACUCAGUCUUCUCCCUUUUCCUCUCAAUAUUCUCACCAUGCAACCUGGCUGAACCAUUAAUUUGCUUGUCAAUCAAAACUACCCUCCCUUCAUUAUUCUCCAGCCGAUCUUUCACUCUAUACCCUUCUUCUCUUCUGGAAGAAACUGCCCUCGGGACUCUCAAAUCUGAAGAUGUCUUACUGGAUAGCCUCUCCCUUGGACUCUCCCUACUAUCCUCAAUGGCAGAGGGCUUACAGCAGGCACACCCCAUUUCACUCCCUAAAAAUACACAAACCCACAAAAAGAACCUACCUCCCAAAUCACAUCUUUGCACCAAAUACACCAAUACCCACCCACAUUAACUCCUCUUCUUCCAUUGUCUCCUUCAAAAUCCAGAAUCACCCCAAGAAACCAACUUUAUCGGAAAUUUCAACUCAAACUAAGUCUGUCACACGCAUCACCGAUAUUUCUCAUAAAACCCAAGUCAGAAACUAACCAAAAAACAUGCCAUUCGGCUUAUAUAACAUAACAACCAUAAAAAUCAGUCAAUUUUGCAAGAAAACUGAAAUGGGCUCAGCUCAAAGUACCUUCAAAUUGAUAUCUGGCGAGUGUAGCAGAAAUUAAGUGAAAUUGCAAUACAGAAAAGGAGUAUGGAGAGUUUGGUAAGGGGAAAAGUAAGGGUGGAUCUAGGGCAAUUGUAUUGUGCAGUAGUAACUGGAAUGUACAGAGUGAAGGGGGGAGAGAAAACAGAUUAGUAGAGUAGUACUGUAGUAAUUUGUGAGGGAGUUAAAAAUAUUUGUGGUACAAAUGUGUGUCUGUUACUGUUAUAAUAGUGAGAAUUUAUAUAUUUCUGACGGCCGAGGCAGCUUUUUAUUAAACCUUUCAGGGAAAGGAGAAAGAUGAGAGAGAGAGAGACAGACGGAGAGAGAGCUAGCAGUAGUCGUGAUGGGUUCCAUUGGCGACAUUCUUCUUCCCAGGUCUCACUACAACCACGCGCAGCGUUGUGUGUGAUUGGUUGUGUUUUAUGGCGUGCACUAAUCCAUGAUUGUACCAUAAUGCUGGCAGUUAUGCUGCUCCUUUUACAAUACACUUCCCUUUUUUUUCCCCAAUAAUUUCAUAUGGGAAGGGAAGAAACAUCAAGAAAGUUACGUGAAGGUAAACUGCAAGUAAAGCUGUUGCUUGAAAGCUUGGUUUAGCUCGACUCGACGAGACUCGAGUUUGACUCGUUAAUUGUGGUAAACGAGUCAAGUUCGAACUCGAAAUAUGUUCGUUUAAUUAACAAGUCGAGUAAGUUCGACUCGUCUGUUAUUCGAGUAGCUUGAUUAGACUCGAUAACAAAUGGUAUAUAUGUCAUUUCAUAAUUUAAAAAUAUAAAAAUUGAAAAUUGUAGAUUCAUACAAGCUCGACUCGUUUGUAAUAAACAAGUUGAGUUCGAACUCGAAUUCGAGUCACAUGUCCUAUUUGGCGAGUCGAGUCCAAAUAUUUUUCAAAGCUCGUCCGCCUAAUCAAGCGAGUUCGAGCUUGACUCGAGUUAAACUUGAGUCGAACCAAGCUCGAUAGGUAAAUACUCGAUUCGAUUAACAACACUAAUUGCGAGAAAGUGAUGUAUAGGAAAUGAAAGUUACCUUAAAAAGAAAGUGAUAAUUUAUAUAUUUUUUAAAGCCCUGGCAUCUGUCUCCACAUCUUUUUCACUCGUAAGCACAAAAUUUUAAGAGUUAUUGAAAAUUAGUGAUAAUUAUAUCAAUAGUUAGUAAUGACUAUUUUGAAUGAAAAAUUCUAUAUUAAAAACAAACUAUCCCGUUUGGAUUGUUUUUUUCGUCAUUUUUCAUGGAAAAAUUACUGUAGCGAUUUGAUGUAUGUGAGGGAAAAAGGUAAUAGGGAAAUGUGAUCACGGAAAACGACGUAAUUUUUCGACGAAAAACAGCAAUCCAAACAAGGUCCUUCAUUUUGAAAAAUUUUACAUGUAUAUUUAUCGUUUUAAAAAUGUCUGAUUUAAAAUCAAAGUCGUUCUUUAUGAGUGGAGUCAUUCUGAAUAAUGUGUCAAAAAUAGUUUCUUGCAAAAUCAAAAUCAUGAGGGGCAUUGCAGGACUCGUAUUGGAAAGUGUAGAAAAUGUGAUAAAUUUUUCUAAAUUCCAAAACAUGCAAAAAAGAAAAGUAAGCAGACAUUAGGAAAUCCAGCCAUAGGAAAGACGUCAGAUUUGGUUAACGGAGAUGUCAAAGUGAGAAUCAUCAUCAUCACCACCAGUUGUACUUGUAUCAAAACAGGAAGGAGAAUGGAGAGAUAGCAGGAAGAAAGAUCUCUCAUCGUAUGGUCACUUGUUUAGAAGAGUGCUCGCUGUUUUGUAUACUUAACUGCUGUAAACUCUGUCAGAUAGAGACAUUUGGCAUUUCAUAAACCUAUGAGCAAAUUUGGCGGUUUGAAAGGAGAAUCACCGGCGGAGUUAAUUCUCAUGCAUGUUUUCUCUAUAAUUAUUAAUAUUGAAAAAAGAAAAAAGAACGCAGUGGAAAAUCACUAGUGAGGUGAAUCUCGGGAUAAGUAAUUUCUUCGAGUGAUUUAACUAAAAAUUAAUGGAAUGGAAUGAAGAAGAUUUAUUAUUAAUCGUUUCAACUAAAAAUGCCUCGUCUAUUCCCUGGCCAGGCAUGUGGUUGAACACUGCCGGCAAAAUUCACGUCCCCGGGGCCGGACCACUCCACCGGUCGAAGACCAAUCGAUUGGAAUUGAUUAGCCAAUUUAUUAUUUGUUGGGCUCCACGUUCUGCGCUGCUGCUCCAGAGCUACCCCAGUCUGGUUGACUCGAGCCCUCUCAUCUAGAUUUACGACUCAAAAAAAAAAAUUUUUUUUUUUAACACCAUUUAUGCUGUUUUAUCUUUGUUGCAUCAAAUAAAAUUCUUCACUCUAGUGAUUUUUAGCAGUGACAACCAGUCAAAAGAUAUUCAUUUGGAAAGGGUUAUUAUUUGAAAAUAUAUAUUAUUCACAAAACGCAUUUUUUUCAAUCUUUUUUUCUCAUAUAUAUAUAUAUAUCACAUUAUUAGUGAUUUGAUUUUUUAUGUGAGAGUUUUUUUAAAUUAUGAGAAUUGUUUUACGAAACCGAGAGAGAGAGAGACAGAGAAAAAGAACUACGUACAAGGUAGGCAAAUGCAUGCUGUAGGCGCGUGCAUUGAACAUUAGUUCGGUCACUGUUUCUGCAUGAAGAAGAAAGUAGUGCUACUUUGCUAGUAAUAAUAGCAGAAUAGAAAGGUUGAUGCUGUAUUUUUAUUCUUAGCUUUAUUGAUAUGGACUCGUCCCUAAAUAGGGUUAAUUACAUUUACCUCCCUUGAGAUUUAUCCAAACGACAAAUCAAUCCUUAGAGUUUGAUAAAAUUACAAAACGGUCCACCAAACUCAAUGAUCCAUAACAAGUAGAGCCUUCCGGUUAGUCAAUUAAUGUUCGACCACUCAUCACCAGGCAAGCCAGCAGAAAAAUGCAACUGAAUUCCUAAUUUUGCCCGUCAAUGUUGUAUUGUUCCCCUUUUUCUUCCUCUUUCCAUUUUGUUUUUAUAUUGAAAAUCUAUCAUCACCCCAAAAAGCGUUGGAGACAUUGCAAAUUUACAAUUGCUUCAAACCGAUAUUGAUACCAUUUUUCACAUAUAACUCAAAACUGCCAACAAACACCAUUUUUUCUUUAGUUUUCAAUCAAAUUUGGAACAAGAGCGCCUAAAAGAUACUACAACUUGCAUGGAACAGUUUGUCAUAUCCAUCAAUUUGAAAAUAUAGUGAUUGAACAAUUCCGAUAGAAUAAAGCGAAGGUUCAAGGAAAAAUACAAAAUAAAAAAUAAACAUCAACCACAAACAUGAACAAAAGAAAGUAAACUGUCAAUAGAAAUCUCGAAAAAGUAAAAUUAACCAAAAACAUGUAUAGACCUAUCAAUUUUGACACCCAAGAGUAAAUUGCCAAUAGAGGUUGAUACAUUAAGUCAUGGGAUAUCAAGUUUUGAGCAAAUCCAGUUUGAUGUACUAUUCAUGCAGCUUUAAUUUCAUGUGAAGACAAUAGAGAAAUAGUGAGGAAAGAGGAAGAAAGAGAUGGUGGCUUGCUUGGUUAUGGUGAACUUGGUGAAGUAUAUAAGAAGGAUAGUACUCGUGAAAAAUGAAGAGAUUUAUGAUGGAAUAUCUAUUUUUCUUUUUUUCUUUUUUGAAGAUUUUCCCUAUCAAUUCAAACUAUUAACAAAGAGAUUUUCUUCUUCCUUUCCUUCACUCUCAAAUCUUGAACUGACGCCAAAGGGGAAGCAUCUACAUUUUUCACUUGUUUGGGAUUUCUAAUCCUUGGGGAAAAAAACUUUGUGCAUUUUUUCACUUAUUUGCAAUUGAAAUUGUGUUAUUUGAUUUCCAAACAUUCACGAGAAAGAUUAAUAGUAGUUGACACCUUCAUUAUUUUUUCUUUUGCAUAAACUUUACUGAAUAAUGGAUCUAAGAAUUUUAUUUUUAUUUUUUUUAACCUUCGAUGCAUUUAGAUUAAGGGAAAUAUUGUCAUUUUAUAAUUUCUGUCAAUAGGGUAUUAACGGAGUUAGUGACAAGGGAGGUAGAUGUGAUUUGGUGAAACCUUGAGGAUUGAUUCAUAAUUUGGAUAAACCUUAGGGGAGGUAAAUAUAGUUAGACCCUCAUAAAUAUCGUUCGGUGAACGAAUUAGUAGCCCGGGCAACAAUGGAAUGCUAUUACCUUUUUAAGCGGAGCAGAGCCCUCUCUCUCUCUCUCUCUCUCUCUUCCGUUUUGGAUUUUUUUGUUUGGUGUUUGAUCACAUUUUCUGCAAGAUCAAUCAUAUAGAAAUCGACUAUCUGAUCUGAUGGUAAUUAAUGUCAUAAAACUAAUGAUAUGUGUAUAUAUAUAUACAUACGUUUUUUUGUUUACAUGACUGAUAUUGGAAAGUAAUUUCGAACCUCUUUCUUAUUCUAUAUUUCGCAAAAAGGAACAUACAAAUAAUUUCAUUGAGGACAGAUUAUUCUCCAAAUAAAAGGCGAACAAUUAAUGACCAUGCAAAAUUUUUCCAGAUGAUAAAAUAAUGGAAAACAAAUAGGACCUUCAUCCGCUGUUUGAUGGCGAUCGGACUCGAUAAUCUAGUCAGCCUGCUGUUGUAUCGGAUAAGGAAUUAGAAUUGCGGUUGAGGCCUGGAAAUGCUUUGAUCCCGUGAUAGAAGCAUUAAUUUUUGCCAUUCGUUUAGCUUCAAAUGCAAUGCUGGACUUUUAUUUCUAAUAUUCUUAUGUGAUUUUGAGGUGCCAUGACUCGGAGGGUACCUGUAAAAACACACGUGUAUCCUCGUACAAUAUAAGAAUGAGUUGUGGUUGAAGGGAGAUUUGAAUUUCAACCGCAUGGAUAGGAUUUUUUUUUGGAAAUAUGGAAUAUUUUUUGUUAUUGUUUAAAAACUUUUGGUACAAUUGAGGAUAUCAUAUGUUUAGAUAUAUUUACCAAAAUAUUAUCAUUUUGGUACAUUUAAAGUUUUGAUUUAUGAAGACAUUUGGGUAUUUCUGAAAUAUAUUUAUUUUGUAACUGUUUUUUGCAUCGAGUACAACCUAUAUAAACUUAUGUGUUGGUAUAAUUACUGAAACGGUGUUAUAGACACAUUUAAUUGAAAUGUGUUUUUGUCGUGCAAUUAACACAAAGAAACAUCAACACGUUGCUAUAACUAGCCAUUGAAGGGUAUUCCUUUGUCCGAAACAACUUAUAUAUUUUCUUGAGUGAUUUUCAUUUGACAUCUGUACGCGUCUUUUAGAAAUGAUAAAAUUGUAAAAGCAUUGAUAAAAUAAAGUGGACAAGUGUGUGUUGCGAUUAGAAUGUACUAUUAUUAACAUUUGAUGACUAUUUUUUUUUUCAAAAUAUACUAUUAUUUGUUUAAUAAAAAAUUUUCUUUAAUUACAAGUAUCAAACACCCCUGCGAUGCGCGGGCACUCCCCUCUAGUAUUAUGUUUAGACUCACAACCUGAUUUAUCCCAACGAAAGGACAUUUAUCGAAACUAAAGUCCAAUGCGGGAAAAAAGGUGCAUUGAGCAUUCUCGACGUUGUGUUGGAAAACUAUUGAAUGCUAGUAGUACUGCAAGCACCUGCUUGAACUAUUACUACUGUAUUUAGUCAGUUUACGAGAGCACCAGUACGCUAGUAGUGUUUUUUCUAGUUUUCCAAUUGUGUCGCCGCAGCCAUAUUACAUUCUACUGGAAAAUGUUUGCCAAGAACAAAUAUAUGUAUAUAUAUAUAUAUACAUCAAAGAUAAGAUACACAUUCUACUGGACCAUUUUUGUGUCCUUGACUGACUUUGGGAGGUUACAAUAAAGCUUCGAGAAUAUAACAAGGGUGAAAACAUAGAUUAGACCACGCUUUCUAAAAAUACAGAAGCAGAACAAGGGUAGGGGGAGACGAUGGUGGACAUGGGUGAAAGGACCUUGGAAGAGAGAGUGGAAAAAUCCCAACCAAUUGUGUCCAUAUCCAUUAAAUUAUUUGACAGUUAUCCACAUAAUGAAGCACGCAUGAGAUUUAAAGCCCUGCCCUCGUUUUCGGGGACACUGGAACGAGGGAGCUUCCAGGACCAUCGACUUCCAAUUUAGGAUUUGGUUCUGCCUUUUAUUAGGUUGGCCCUACGCUUGCUUUAUGCAUGCACGUCCCCUCAUCUAUACGACUACGUACGUAUUAGGUGAGCAUCCAACAAUGUGUUUAUACAGUAGUUGUAUGUUCUAAUUGCUUCUCCUUUUUUAUUUUUUGUGGUUCUAACUGCUUUUCGUAUCAUAAUCCAAUCCAAUGGUGUGUGUGAUAUAAUUGAAAUCUAAAUCUAUUAAAUUAUUGAAUUGUUAAGUUCUAAAUCCGAUACAUUUUGAGUGUUUGUUACUUUAAAUGAUAAGUGAAUAAUUUAUUACUUAUUUUUAAGAACAAAUUUUGCCUAAAAAAUUCAGUACUACUCAAUUAAUUCAGACAGUUAAUUUUUUAUUUUCAAACGCAUUUCAAUAUAUUAAGAUCUGAAUCCAUUAAAUUUAAAUAUUGAAUUGAGUUAUUAAAUAAGCCCUAAAUCAUCUUGCUCAAUUACGUGUGACUUAGAAGUUGUACCUUUUUUUUUUUUAGCUCAUUAUGGCAAAAUACUCCACGUGUAAAUUCUUUAGCUAUAUUUUUAUUAGAUGAACAAAAAGAGAAGAGAAAAGGCCCCAAAACUACAAUCUUUGGCAUGCUCCUGGCAAUAAAUUAUAAUAGAUAGUGGGGUUUGGGGGGGGGGGGGGGUUUAAUCUUCAUCCUUUACCCUAAAAGAGUGGGGGCGCGAAAGCAGCUUUGUCAAACUAGUGAAGGGGGAGCGCAAAUAUCAUCAAGUACAUCUCACGGUUCAAAAAUGAAGCCAUAAAGCUCCUUUAUAUACAUGACAAUCCCACUAAUCAAAUAGAGAUUACAUCCUCUAUUUCAUCAUGCAUUAACUCUCUAUCCCACAUUUUGCUUUAUCCUCUAUUUUUGUUGCACCAUAAUUAAGCUAAAACACCCUGUUUUGUUUCAUCAUAUGCCAUGCUUUAUUGUUAGAAGUAGGGAGAAUCAUAUAUAUAUAUAUAUAUAUAUAUAUAUAUAUAUAUAUUCAAAAAAAGGAUCUGGACCCACUUCAGGUCCCAACCCUUAUUUAGAUUGGUGGAUUUUUUCCUAUUUUUGUGACAGUGAUCGAACUCUGGUGGAUGCUCUAACUAGAGGCUACACCACCAGGUCGGUUACCCUGGAGGGUUUAGGGAGAAUCAUAUAUGAGAACAAUAAAAAUUGAUAUUAUCGAAUUAAUAAGACUCGACCUAACCAACAUUUGAUCCAAAAUUGAUAUCAAUCUUUUUUAUUAUCAAAAGUUUUAAUUAAAUGUCCAAACACACACACACAUGUAUAUAUACACAUGUAGGUAAAUGUGUGUUGAUUGAUAUGUACGUAGGAUUAUAAAGGAUUUAUUAAGUUUUUUUUUUUUUUUUGGAACAUCAAUUCUUAAAACCAAAGUUACACACACGCACAAAACGAAAAAGAUUUCCAACGAAGGCAGGGAUGGAAAUUGAACUUGGAAUAGAAUCAAAAAAAGAAAUUGAACUAGCAAUUUUCACCAAGAUGGUAGAUAACUUUUUAGCCACCUAAUUUUGCAGAAAGAAAUAGUAACAAAUACCUUCGGGUUUUAUUGUUUGUAUAAUACGGUAGUGCUUUCAAAAGUGGUGGCAAACGCCCUUGUGUAUUUUAACCUAACAUAAUAAACAGAGUAAUGUUUAAAAAAAAAAAAAUACGCUUUUUGUUUCGUCUACCAGUUCGGUGAAAAUUUUAAAAGAAAACUGUAGCUUUCAGAAACACGGCCAGGAAAAAAAAACACUCUCAAAUUCUCUACUAGUAAGAUAAAAUACUGCAUUUACCGCGAUAGAUAGCUCCAAAUCAGAGCCCUCAAAUUUGUUUUCAGCAAUCCCAGAAUAUAGAAUCUGGUUUUGAAGGCGAGACCGUUGUAACCUUUGUCUUAUCUGAUUCAAAUUAAUUUGGCUUUAUUUAUCUUAUUGAUUUGAUUUAAUCUGAGUUCGUAAUUUUGAAUUGAUCCAUUGGGUUCGAAUUCAAUUUUUUUGGGAACUUUUAUUUAUGUCGUUAGUCCGAACUUUAUGGAGUUUGAUUAGGAAAAACUCAAUUUGCGUUUUUGCUGUCCUAAUUAUAGUGCUGCGUUUUAUGGGUUAUGAAUUUUGGGUUUCUUUGUUUUGUUCAAUGGCAGGAAUUUUAAUCGAAGCAUAGGAAGCAGCAUUUAGCUGUUGUUCAUUCUGCUAGCGGGAUUUUCUUGUUACUGUGUGAUUGUUACGAGUUGGUUGAAAUUUUGGGAUUCUGUGGUGGUCAGUUUGAUACAUUGCUGAUUAAUUAGGAGGUGGUUUGGGUGUUCUUUUGGUCAUAAUUUAAGUGAAUGGGAAUUGCGAGGGAAGAAAGAGAUGAAGGCUAACAUCAAGUGGUCAGAGGUAAAAUGAACGAAGUGUCAUCGGGUCUUCGAAGUUUGAGUUUUGGAUCACUGCAGCUGCAUUCACAGAAUGGUGGGUUGCAGUCUCAGAAUUCAUCUACACUUCGCAAGACUUCAAGGACCUUGUCUGGUUCGAGGGAGAAGGAGAGGUAUCUGCCUUUCAUAUUCAAGUACUUAGGUCGAAGGAAGGUUAUAAUGCUGAUUUUGGUCAUUAUUGCAAUAUUGGCUCUUACCACAGGGUUUCUCACAGCCAGCAAAGGUUUGUUAUGCUUCCACUGCCUUUUCAUGUCAUUGUUUUUCUGUACUGUGGCAUGUAGAUUAUGUGGUAGAUCCUUUGUCAUAAAAGAGUAGUUUUUGAUUGUUCGGAUACAAUUGUGGCUUAAAUAAGUAGUGUCAAAUUAUUGGAAUUUUCAGUAAGCCUGCCUUGUGAGUUUGAAGAUGGCAAAUGAUUACUCACAAGCAUUAGAGAUUCAGUUAGCUGCUUUUAGCGAUAAUUAAAUCACUAGGAUGUCAACUCAUCCUAUUAGUGUUUCUCCUUCCAGAAUAUAUAGAAAUUUUCCAUAUAUCUUCAAGGAUGCCAAGUGAUGAUUGCUGUUUCCUUAAUAGGAACAAUGAAUUUCAAUCUGUGACUAGUAAUAGAUUACCCUUAGAAGAAGAGGUCUGGCACUUUAUUUACAACCUAUGCCUUUUCUGUAUUUUGUCUGUUUUCAUUUGCAUCGAGUGACUUACAAACUAUUUGCAUUUUUCAGAGGCUGCAUCAGAGAGCUCUAUGUUGGGCUUUGAUGGGUGGUUCGAAAACAGGACAUAUCCUGUGUCCAGAGAAGUUGAAGGGACUUCUGAGAAUGGUUCAAAUGUUAACAUCCAUGGUGUGUGCAGUACAAAUAAUGGCUCUUAUCUACCUACGGCUCAUAAUUCUACUGCAACAAUUGCUAUGCCAGCUCCUGUUAUGCUGAGCCAUCCAUGUAAAACUUUUGCAUUUCCGCCUCCCCCUCCUGGUGAUGCUAGACGGAUUGGACCACGCCGUAAGUUUGACAUGUUUUGGAUGCGUCUUUAUGCAUUAGUUGUUUCUCUACAUGGAUGAACUACCGGUGUAGUUAAAAUCUUCAUGGACAAGGCAUCUUGUAACUUCAACUUUUUUGCCAUAUUUUGUCUGGACAAUGACAAUUAAAUGCUUAUUGAGAACUUAUUGUAGUGUUUUCCUGCCUUUUUUUUACCAGCUUGUCCAGUAUGUUAUAUUCCUGUGGAGCAGGCUAUAGCUGCUUUGCCUAGAUCUGCAUCAGCAUCUCCUGUCCUUCAUCAUUUAACUUAUUUUUAUGAGGAAAACCCAAUGAAAACCGAACCUCAUGGAGGCUCUGACUUUGGUGGAUAUCCUUCUCUGAAGCAAAGAAACGACUAUUUUAAUGUAAACAAGUCAAUGACAGUGCAUUGUGGGUAAGUUUUACUCCUACACGUUAUGUUUCUCUGCGGUAAGUCAUUUUCCAGACGUAACAUAAUUAUCAUAUGGUUUCUAGCUACUAUUUUAGUCUUAUGUUUGUUUUAAUUACUCUUUUUAUGUUCAUCUUUAUCAGAUUUAUCAAAGGAUGUAGAGCUGGUGACAACACUGGAUUUGAUAUUGAUCUGGAUGAUCUUAAGGAGAUGGAUGAGUUCCAUGAAAUUAUUGUUGCAUCAGCUAUAUUUGGUACUGCAGAGCAUGAACUAAAUUUAUGGUUUUGGCCUUGUUUUGUUUAUACGUUUGCAUACUUUGAACCUUAAGGGUUGCUACCCUCCCUAAAUAUUUUCUCAGCUCUCUAUGUUUGUCUUCUCCAAGCUGCUAUUGAUUUUAGAAGCAUUUUUCUUUUCCCUUAAGCUAUUGAUGUUUACAGGAAAUUAUGAUAUCAUUCAACAGCCAACGGACAUCAGUGAAAUUGCAAAGAAAAAUAUACCCUUCUAUAUGUUUGUUGAUGAAGAAACAGAGGCAUACAUGAAGAAUUCUAGCCUCCUGGACAACAGCAAGAGGGUUGGCCUAUGGAGAAUUAUCGUUGUCCACAAUGUGCCUUAUACUGACCCCAGGCGUAAUGGCAAGGUUAGGAAAUACUGAUUGGUCCUUUUGCUUACAACUGUUUCCGUUUCUGUGGAAUAGAAAUGUUCUAUCACAUUGUGGAUUCACACAUUGUUUGAGUACAUGGUCAAAUUCUUCUUAAAACGCCAUCUGCAGGGCUGAACAUUCUUUCUCCUGUUUCCACUUCCAGAGAGCUUAAUUCACCAGGUUAUUAAGUGCCAGUGAAUCAUUUAAGAGAAGUGCAUACUAGGAAUAGAAAAUAGAACAGAGAAUUCAUGGAGUCUAAGACUCGUUGAGGAAGCCCGUCCUAUUUGUUGCAUCAGCUUCACUGGGGAGUUUGAAAGUAGUCAAUCUUGCUUUGAACAAAUAGAACAACAUGUGAAGAAAGAAGCAGUUAGAUAUAGUUUCUAAUUCUUUAGGCAUUUGUUAAUAUUUUUCACAUGCAACUGUCUAGAGAGAUGCUUGUCUUAGUAAAGCACUAAGCACAUCAUUUAAAAUCCUGAGGUCUUCGUUAUGGAGAUUUGUUACAUUGUGUUUCCAUUUUCUCUAGCUUCUGUGGAAAGCCACUACGUCGUAUAUGCUUUCUCUGAUGAGAAAAUAAUAGUUUAUGAAACUUGGAAGGGUAAAAUAUGAUAGGGGUACGUGCUUUUGACAGGUGCCAAAGCUUUUGUUGCAUAGGCUCUUUCCCAACGUCCGCUAUUCUAUUUGGAUUGAUGGAAAACUUCAGCUUGUUGUGGAUCCAUAUCAAAUUCUUGAAAGGUAUUCUGGAUCUUUCUGUCAUCUGCCUAUUUAGGCUCUAGUUGAUGGAGAAUCAUGUUUUAUGCUCAUAGGGGAGAGAUUAAAAAUUUUAUAUGUUCAACAUAUCUUAACUCACUGUAAGCAUUUGUCAUGUGGUAUAUGGGCAGUUACAACUUUUUGUAUGGUUAUAUUGUCCAAUUGGGAUUUUACCUUGUGAUCUUUCAGUCUUCUACUAGCCAUUCAUAACUGUUAAGAUAUCUAUGGUGAUAGUUGUCUGAAAGGUUUUUUUUGGUAAGGUUUAGUUUUGUUAGCCCUUCCAUUAAGCCUGGAUUUUAUUUUGCACGCUUUUUUGUCAUCUUACGCUAUAAGCUUCUCAUGGAAUUGGGCAUGUUCAAUGAAAAAUAAAAUGUUUUUCCAACAUUUAAUCAAGGAGAUAAAAAUCAACAUCAGCUAUUGUAUAUAUACCUAGCAGUUGUGCUAACUUCACAUUUCUAGGCUUUAAAGAUGCCAUGCAUAUGAAAAUUAAGCAAAAGAAAUGUACCAUCUUCGGUUUGGGGGAUAGAAAAGUCACAGGCUAGUUCUCCGUUAAGUGACAUAUGUGCUUUUGGGAGCCUUACAUAUUUAGAAGCUGCGCUUUUGUAGACAUUUGCAAAAGGGUGGAUUUAGAUAAAUAAAACAUGGAACAUCUUUUUGCUUAUGUGUGGUGCUUGAGUAAAAUUGGAUAUCUGAGCUUUUGCCAGUGUAUAUGCUUCAAACAAAAUUUCAAGUGCAACCUCAGGCUUGCUUUACUAAAGUACUUGAAAUCAUCUACAUAUUUCAAGUAAUUAAUCAGGGAACUUCUCAUUUUCCUUGGGUUGACGAAUUUGUGAAAAUGAGAUUUUCCAAGUUGUGUUCAAUUAUUUGGAUCAAGCUGAUAAACUGGCACUUCCUUUUCCUUGCCUCUGGAAUUGAUUUUUUUUCCCUGGUAUUAUUUUGUGGAAUAGGACGGAAAAGAAAAUGAAAAUUCGAUUACUUAGAUUGUGCUUUUUACAUGUAUAUGAGAUCAUUUUCAUCUGUUAUAUGUAAAGUAUCUCUUUUCCCCCUCCCUCUCCUGAAUGGCUGGUAAGAGAACAAUUCAUCAUGGCAAAGAAAACUAGCUUUGGUAGCAGUAGAUAAUAGAUGAUAACCACUUAAUUCCUCAGGUUUUUGUGGCGCCAAAAUGCCACUUUUGCAAUCUCAAGACAUUACGCACGAUUUGAUGUCAUCGUAGAAGCUGAGGCCAAUAAAGCUGCAGGGAAGUAUGACAAUGUCUCUAUUGACAACCAGAUUGACUUUUAUAGAAAGGAGGGUUUAACACCAUACUCGAAGGCUAAGCUUCCAAUAACUAGUGGUAAGCCCCUGUAACAUCUGUUUGCUUGCUUUUGAUCUCCUUUUCCAAAUAAAGUUUUAGUUUUGUGUUGCUCAUUGCGUAUCUGCAGAUGUUCCUGAAGGAUGCGUAAUUAUACGGGAACACAUUCCUAUUACCAAUCUCUUCACCUGUCUGUGGUUCAAUGAAGUUGAUCGUUUUACUUCCAGGGAUCAGUUGAGCUUUUCAACUGUGAGGGACAAAAUAAUGGCUAAAGCUAAUUGGACCAUCAACAUGUUUUUGGAUUGUGAGCGCAGAAAUUUUGUGAUACAGGUAUUCUUUCUCCUUCCUUUUCUUAUCAUUUUAGUUUCUGCAAGGAAUUUGCACCUCUGUUGUCUUCCAAGAAAAGUAUUGCAUUUCUUUUCUUCUUAUUUUGUCCAGGGAUCCCACUUCCAUCUUUAUGAAAGAAGUUGAUAAUUGUUCUAUCAGUAUUUUGAAGACAUUAAAAAUGAUGCUUUCUGCACUUUUGUUUUAAAAUCUUUUUACUGGAAUAGUAGUUUGAGAAUCCAAAGUUUUAUAGGCAUAUCACAGAGAUUUAUUGGAGAGAAGGCCACCACCUUUGCCACGAGCUAGAGUUUAUUCUCCCCCAAGUUCUGUUCGUUAUAACACACCUACUGAAACAGCAAGGAAGAAAAGCCCCGUUAAACGGGUAAGAGGAGGUAAGAAGCCGGGAUCUAGACGGCAUCGGAAAGUUGUUGCUGGAAAUAGGGAUAAUCCUUUACUUCGAUUACUUUCUCCGUAGGUUUUUAUGCAAAGAAAAGAUACUUCUAUUCUUUGUCUCAAUUCUUUGAAAGGGAUAGGAUGAUUUUGGUAGAUAUUGGUAGCAUAUUCAACAAAGAUGAGUUUUUUUUGAAAGUGUCAGAUAUUCGAUCACUUUCAAUGUAUAUUUCUUCACACGAACUCUAGGGUCAGUCGUUUUUCUCUUGAUCGUCGAGCUCUCCUGUAAUUAUCUGCUUCACGCAGUCUGAGGAAAUGCCUAAUUCGAGGAUAAACUACUUUUAUUCGUUUAUGAUCAGCAUUGAUGAAUUCUUUUACCCAUCUGGAUGGUUGUCUUCUAGCAGGUGAUGACAGAAUUUUCAUACCACCAAACCCAGUGAAACAGAAAAUGCACGUCCAUAUUUGAUUUCGUUUGAGUACCCGCCUAUUUUGGUCGUUACUUGCGAGCUUGAGCUUUUAUUUGGUUAGACUGAGAACAGGGUAGUUUUAAAUUUGGACACGGCUUGAAUAUAAAGUGGAGGAGUUUUUGUAUGAUAAACAAUGCUAAGGUGAUCUCUAAGGAACUGGUCUUGCAAGCACUGCAGCUGCAGACCUGUAUUUUACAUCUAAUUCAAGAGUCAUCCAAAAUGAGCUGGUUCUGAGUUUCUGAUUCGAAAGCGUGAUUCUUAUUUUCAGUACUGCUACUUGAUCCACGCUUCUAGAGAGCCUGCCGAAGCAUGCAGGUUUAUGAAAAGAUAAACCAAAUAAUGCAAAUGAAAACUCAUGUAUACGGACAAAACCUCAGCACUUCGUACCUGUCCUGAAAUUAUUUGAUUUUAUCUUUGUGUAAGCAACUAGCCGGCAGCCAUAUUUAAAGCUGUGGGAGUGCAUUAUUGAACAGCUAACGCAAAGCCGUGACCUCAUGUUGAUGGCCCUCACCAAUCAUUCAAUAUGGGCACGUAUUAUAACGCAAAGUCGCAGACAUAAUUUUUCCUUUUUUUUUCGGAGACGACAGAUGUAUAAUUUAAUUUAUUCUACAUUAAGGGAGAGAGGGCGGACCUAAGGAAGAUCAGGAAUAAUCCGGAGGGAAAUGAACUAUUACCGAAUCAAACGAGUACACAACACAGUUACCUAAAUUUUUUAGAAACAAACCACAUAAAUGUGACAUUUUUGGUGAGCGAUAAGUUUUGAACCUUUACCUUCCACCCCAUCAAGCUAGGUGGUGGUCACUGGCCUUUGGGCUGGUUACAUAAAUUUUCGUUUGCCUCAGUCAAAUUUACGUACGCAACUAAAAGGUUUACGACUGAAUUGUUUUUUAUUCAUUCAGAGUUUGACGAGACUGUUGCAAUUUUGGUAAUGAAAACAAGAAACUAGAGAUAAAUAGAAAGAUCGGACGGGGAGGCUCUUACAUAUGCAUACGUUUGCUUGAUGCAUAAAGGGAUUUCCGAGACGGUAUGAAGAGCGGGUUCACAUUUGCCACAAACACUUUCUGCUGUACUUACAGUCUCGUCAGCUAACAUCAAGUGUAGAAAUGAAUAUCCUGCUAAUUAUUGCAAUAUCAACACAUCAUCAUUAUGCAAAUCAUCUUUCCGAUCCACAAAUCUCCACUUGGACGCGAGCCAAUUAACAACCCACGUAUGAGCCUCUUUAAACUCUCUCUUUUCCUGGAAGAUAAGUAGGUUAGAUAAUUGCCGUUACAGAUAAAAAAAAAAUUGGAUACUUGCAUUUAAUUUUGAUGCGUGACCAUCUCAUUAAAGAUAAAAAGCAGAAGUCCAUUAACUUGCUUAAUUUCACUUCACCCUCUAAAUUCAUAACGUCAAUUGAUUUAUUGUGGAAAAUGAAUAAACGACACGAUAGGUAAAAAUAUGAUUAGAAAAUGUGUUCACGAAAAAUGUAAAGAUUUAUUGGUGAAAAAUCCCUUUCCAAACGGGCAAAAAUGCAGGGAUUCUUGAUAUUUUCCAUAGAAUACUGACAAACAAAAAAUGUCAAUCUCAAAAGGAUUUGUCACACAUAUGGUACCUAAAACUAUUUACCAACUAACAUGCUCAAGUAUUAUAUUUUGCUGAGUUGUUGAAGAAAUCUUCUAGGGGUAUCUUGUCAUUUUGAGAACUAAGUUAAAAGUGAUUAGAAAGUGAUAAUGACGGAUUCUGAAUAUUUUAUUAUUCAACAAGAAGAAAGGAUUUCCUUGAGUUGAGCGGAUGACGACUGAUCAGCAACCAGCUGCAUGUUUUUAUCCUUUUCUUGCCCUUGAUCUUUAUCUUUAUUUCACCCUUUUUGUCACUUUUUAUUUAUUUAUUUAUUUUUAAGAUCUACCUGAAAAUUUAGCUGUAACAACCAGACACCUAAAAUAAAAGACAUCCACACUUUUUUUGUUCCUUAAAAAUGCUCUGCUGUUAACCCUUCUAUAAACCCUUUUCCCAACGUUCCCUCGAUUCCACUCCUCUUCUAGAUGUCAUUCCGUCUGGGUUUUGGAUCCAACGCUUUUCUUGGAUCUUUCUCCAUCCAGUCCCUAUUCACUGAUCUCGAUUUCCCAUGAUAACCAGCCCAGAUAGUCACCUGUUUGUUGCUGUGAGAAGGGGACGAAAACCCACCUAUGGUCCAAAACUCUAAAUCUGAAGGAUUGCUUUCGGGUACUUUAUUGCUUAUUUGCAUCCAAAGUCUUGAACUUUAGGUGAAAAAUCUUUCUGGGUUUUGAUCAGUUGAGAAUUGUACCAUGCCAUCUAGAUUCCUGGGCUUCUGUUACAUGUGCUUUAAAAGUUAAAAUCCGCAGUGAAUUCAGUUUUUAGUAUUACAUUUAAGGCUAAAAAUAUAAGUUUUGGUUAUGUUUGAUUGAAGGAAGUCUGUUCUUUUUUGUGAAUUAAUUUGAAAAGGGCUGUUCUUGCCUUCUGGGAAUUGGAGGUUUCUGGAAAGGGGAAAAGGGGAAAUAGAUUAUCUUUGUUGUUUGGGAAUGAUUGAUGGGUUCGGGUGGGUUCUUCAUGAUAUGUAUUCUGCAUUCUUUGGUGGCCUUGAGCUGUGGAGGCGUGAUGAUGUUCCAUAGUUACGAGUUCCUUGAAUUCAGCCAUGGGAGAGACCGUGCCAGUAAGCUCGCAGGAUCAACCCCUCAUGAUCAGCUGUUAAUCCGAACUUCGGAUUCAUUUUCAGGGUUGUUACUGUUUGCAAUUGGUUUUCUCUUGCUCAUGGUAGCUUUUGUAAAGGACAGGGACUUUCAGAGCUUUUUUGCUAGGGGGUGUGUGCUUCUCCAUGUUGCAAUGGCAAUUUGGAGAAUAUACUUCGAGAGGAAGCUUGAAGUCCUUGGCCGCGAUUGGCUUCGCCUGGUUGUUGGUGAUAUAGUAUUGGGGCUUUCUUGGGUUUUUUUCCUUGUAUAUUCGUGGAGGGAGAAGUAUGAUUGAUUUGAGUGGGAAGCUUACUUUGCCUGAUCAGACACUGAAGAUCAUCAUCAGAGAGGCGAGGCUGAAUGGAAUUUGCUUCCCAGCAGUGCAAUCUUCUUGUUUCUGUCUCCUGUCUAGUGGAUCUCGUGGAUUUCUUUCACUAUGUCUAGUCUAGUGCAUCAGCACAAAUUUGUCGAUUUUGCUUUGUUUGUUGGUACAGUUUUCUUUUUUCCGAUAAGAAAUGGUAAAUGUAAUUUCCUUCUCUGAGAUUGAGAUUGUAAUCUGUGUCUUUCCAGAACUCUGUUUGGUUUGCAAUUCGCACUAGUCUCUUAUUAUGGUGUAUAUAUGAUGAUAUGAGUGCUUGGUUUGUGAGUUAGGACUCUCCCUUUGAUUACUUUUCUUCAGUCCCCCAUUCAGUUUCUGAAUCAGUAAUCAAAGUACAGCAGCUGCUCACUGGCAAUUUUCAAUGGCACGGCUACUGUAAACGAUGAAUUUUGCAAGUUGCUUUAUUAUAGCGGACUAAUUGAUCUGCUAGCAAUCCUAUGCUUACCGAUCCCCGCAAAAACGGCUCAAGGUUGAUUAGCUAAUCGCUGAUAGUGAUAAGGCUGGCUGCCGCCUGGCAAUAUCAUUAAGAACAUAUACGCGCACCUCUGACCUUUAGUUGAGUGUAUGUUAAACGCAUUUUUAAUGAAGUGUGUGUUUGUAUAGUGGUUUAUUUGUCAAAUUUAAUUUGAUUAUAUUAUAUUACAAACAAGUUUUUCAAUAACUUUUGUUAUCAUCUUAAUCAUUUUCUUAUUUCACGUGCGUUAUAUUUAUCACAUAAAAAAAAAUCUCACAUCCCUUGUAUCCAUCAUAUUAAAAAAAAAAGUGCUACGGUAAUUUAAAAACGUUCUUGGUAACGAAGUUCUAGAGUGUUAUUGGGAGAUACCCAAUAAAAUAAAAAAUUGUGAACUUUGUUUCUUUUUACCAUCUCGAUCUUUCAUGAAGAGAAGGCACAUUUUUCAGAAGUUAGAGUGCCAAAUUAAACUAAAAUAGUACUAGUACUUAAUACUUUUGCAAGGACUUAAUUGAGAUAUUCUAAACUUUUGGAGGGCUAGAUUAAUAUUAGCCACGAGAUUAAUAUUCUAAACUUGACUGCAAAGGCGAGCAGUCCUCUCCUUCCAGUAUCAGAGCCCUCUUUUCAACACUUAAACAGAAGUCUUGUAGCCUUUACGCUCUUUCAACGCUAAAACAGAAGGAGAGGGAAUCAAAAAAUUGGAAGCAAGACCAGAGGUAUGUCCUUUUAGUUACUUACUUACUUUUGGUCUAUUUCACGUAUUUGAUGAUAGAUCAAGAUUGCUUCUUUUUUGUAUGCAAAGGUAAAUCUUAAUAGCGUAAUAACUUUCGUGCACAUGCUUUUGUGGGGUUUUUCCGUUCCUCAUAAUCGACUGAGUAAAUUGCAGAGACGGGAUAUUUGCCUUACUUGUGUAGGAUUAACACAAUUAUUCACGAAAAGGCGAAAACUUGAUUGUAUUUAAUAAAAAAUUGUCCUUUUUUUGUGCCCCUUUUGGCGGUGGGGAGGCGGGGGAGGAACUCUGUAGAUUUCGCAUCUUCUUUUCUGUCCAUUAAUCAAUUAUGAUGUAUGUGUACGUCUCUUUCAUACUGAUUUUGGCGGAUAUAGAACUCUGGUAAUCAUAGGAAAUGCAAAAAUGCUUGCUUUGCAUUUUAAAUUGUUUUGCGUUUUGGAUUGUGGGAGUUAAUUGUGUUAAGGAUUGGUGUAUGCUAAAUUUGUAGAGAAACCUGACAACUCGAAAAUUGGUAUGGUGAGCUGACUCUUUUUUUUUUUUUGCGUAUCCUUAUCUGCCAAAAUGGUUUGAUGCUUUUAUCUCCCCCACUCUCCUCUCAAUACCUAAUUGCUGACUUAGCAUUGAAUCCAAGAGGAGUGAGGACCAAUAGCGUGCUAGAGUCCUUUGAUUCUUUAGCUGUUUUGUGUUUCAUCAAGGAGAAACUAAAUAAGUAAUCUUUCUGCUAGCGUGAUCUUAUGCAAUUGUGUAAGUGAGAAUCUCAUGUCUAAAGUGACUUAUAACUAUUUAUAUCAUUGCUGUGCAGCGAUACUAUAAUUUGGAUGGGUUCUUGUUGGAGCUCGUUCACAUGAAUGUGUCAAAUCCUUUCAACUCAUUCACUUGACCUGAAAGUUCUCCUCUGACAGUUUUGUUGAUAAUUGACUUGCAUAGCAACCUUUUGUUUGAAGAUCCCUUAUUGUUUUGAAAACAAUUAAUUUCAAAUUAGAAUAGAAGAAAGUUGGCAUUGGCAGUAGAAUAAAAUUUCCUUAUAAGGUAUCUCUUUUUAUAAAACUGAACGAGAAUCGUGAUGAUUCAAGUUGCUUAAGGUUUCAAGAAAUGUUCAUAUGUUUAGGCUUCCUUUUCAAGUUGCCAACUUUUGCUUUUAUUGAUUUCUUUUUUCUUAUCUCUGAUAUGUAUUUCAUUCUAGUUGUGCUUCUUGUGCAUAUUGUUGUUCUCAAAUAUUAUUGAAGAGGGUAACUAUUAUAAAUACUAAUUUGCAUUCAGUGUAGAGUUGAUUUGUAAUGGUUCAAACUGAGAUGACCUUGGUUUUGCUGUUCUAGAAGAGAGUUUUAAGUUCAAUUCAUGGAAGACUUGAUACUCAUGUUCUUUUGGAGAAGGAAUUAAGGUGAAUCUGGAUUCUAUAUCUUUUGGGUUGCCGAACAUGGAAAAUUGCAAAAUCUAAGGAUUGACUAGAAUUGUCCUUUUGAUUUUUGGGAGGUUGACUGGCUCCCCCAGCUCACUCGUGAACUUGUGAGUUGUGACGUUAUAUAUCAAAUUUAGGGAACAUUAACGAUAUGGUGUAAGCUAAAUCCCGUCACUUUACUCCCAUAAUUUAGGUAUUUAAGUGACAAAAAAAUCUACGAGGUUGUAAAACAAAUCCACCAAAUGAUAGGUAAAAUGAAACUAGGACCUAGAGAUGUUUGCAAUAUGAUCAAUUGAGCAUAAAGCUUCAGUUGAUAAAGAAACUACAACAGAUUUGCUUUAGAUUUAAAUUCUAGGUGGCAAAGAGUCAAAGACAUUCACAUCUAGAGUACAAAUUAAAAUUGAAGAAUAUAGUUCGGUGCCAGACAUUCGCGGGCUGAGCUACUCUUUUCUUGGGCCAACCUAAAAGUAUAUACUACUCAUAUACCUGGCAAAGCUAACAAUAGGGAUUCUUUCAAGAAAAUAUGAAAACAUAACUUUGAAGGACACUUGUAGUACAUAGGUAAAUUCAAUUUUUUCGCUUGAAAUCUUUGAUUAUCUCCAGUCAUAUAUGCGUUGUUUUCUUUUUUAUUCUUCAAUUUUGAUGAAGAUUCUUUUACCAGGAAUAUACUGCCUGCCAGAAUAGUGUAUUAAACUGUAUGUUGAUUUUGUGCAGUUAUAUGGAUGCAUUUAGCUUUCUGUUUGUAAUUAGACUGUACAUUGAGUCUGCAUCAUAGCAUGUUUCUCUGAUAGCUGAGCAUAUGAUUGUCGUCAUUGCAUGUUUAUUCUUUGUGUAUUCCAACUUGGAGCUUUGAAUCUUAUAGUUUUGAACCCUCUUUUUUUUUUUUUUACCAGGGAGUUCAUAUAAUGGGUGGAUUGCCUGCACAGAACUCUUCAUCUGUUAUCUCCUUGAAUGUACACAAAGAUCAAAGUCCAGGUUCUGUAGGACCAGGGCCGGAUUCAAAGCCGCGGAAGAAGAUAUGCUGUGCUUGCCCCGAGACAAAGAAACUAAGAGAUGAAUGUGUUGUGGAGCAUGGCGAAGCUGCUUGUGGAAAAUGGAUCGAGGCUCAUCGUAAAUGCCUCCGUGCGGAAGGCUUCAAUGUUUAAAAAGUAUUACCGUGGUCGAUUGGAUACACGAAUUGCAUUAUGCUGUGGAAAUUGAUAGAAUUUUUGUUUCUAUUGUUUUGGGCUGCACCAUACACUGGAUUUUUGUCUGGUAUAGUAAUGUUACAGAUUAACCGAGAGAUAACUGAAAUGCAGCAUUUGCUCAUUCCCACAUAAAGGGUUCCUGAUGAAAGACAGGGUACAUACUUGGUGCUGGUAGAAAGUGUACGGGAGGAAUGCUAAAGCAUAUCUAUCAGGGAAUAAAAGUUUCAGAAUUCUAAUUGUGCCCCCUUUUUUUUUGUGGUUAUCCUCCUGCAAGUGCAUUUGUUAUUGUUUUGUACAGGUUGUGCAUUUACUGAUGCUAGUCCUGGCCUCUGAUUUUUUUGAAGGGUUACUCGUCCUCAUGUUGUUGUUGUGAUUGCCUCUCUUGUGAAUGCAAAGUAGCCUCCAAGUUGAAGCUUUCUGAAAUUAGAUGCUACUAGAUUAGCUUUACUAGUUGUUGUCUUAUAAUAGACAAAAUUUUUAUAAAAAAAAAAAAAAAUAAAUUAAAUUGGUGACUGUACUGGCUUUAAAGUGUGAAGAUCCGCCAUUUUAUUUUUAUUUCUUGCCCUGGGAGUAAGAGGGAUUCUGGUCUGGACGGUUGUUUGGGCCCAACUUAUGAGAAUGUCUCAGGCAACGGAUCCCAAAACAAAAUGCGGAGAGGUUUAUACAAGAGAGUGGGGGGGAGGGUCUACUCGACAUUGCAGUGGGCUACUCAUAGUUUGUGGAUGGGCUGCGGGGCCUGGCUUUAGAAAGUUGCAAUAAAUACUCCUAUUUGUUUCAAAAUAAGGAAAUUAAAAAAAUUGAGUCCUAAAUAAAGUUGAAAACCUGAAAUGGAUGGUAGCUGAUGAAUGUACUCUAAUUCACAGAUUUAACCUCCAAUUUUUCUUUUGGACGUUUAAUUAAUUAAUUUUUUUGGUUUGGAAGAAUAUGGUGGAAGGUCUAGGCAUUAUUAGUAAAGUUGCAAGCCCUAUUAAUUGGGUUAAGUGGCAAUUUGCGUGACUUAUACUUGUUUUUGCUUCAAUUUGCGAAUGUCCUCCUUGACAUGAUACAUACAUAUAUAUAUAUAUAUAUAUAUAUAUAUAUGCAUUCCAGAAAGUGAUUUAGCUGAACGAACUUUGCAGACCAUAUAAUAGGAUGAAUGUGAUUUUGUUGUAUCGAUGAUGUAUUCCUUAGGAGUGGGCGCGAAACUUAUUGCUGCCAUUCGUCACGUCUUUGCGUGGCAAAAGAUAAAGGCGUGGACGCAAAGGGCUUCUCAUCUCAUCUCGAUCCGCGGUUGAUGCCCAGUACAGAAGAAGAUUCAACACUAGUCCUAUAUUAUUAUCAUUCAUCAUGAUGGAGUGACAAAUUCUUUUGUAUCUUUUUGAAUGGAAGUGAGAAAUUCAAGAGUACUAAAACAUUAUUGUUAUUAUAAUCACCUCGUUACAGGAUGAGGAAGGAAACACACAACAUAAACAGUGAUUUGUCAAAUCACUGGACCAUCAAAACAAAAGACAGACCCCACAACACAACACAAAUUAUUGACCAUCAUCACAUACUAAUUUAGAGAACCUCACUACAUAGUUUUGUAUGAAUCAGGAGGCACUCAUAUCAUAUGUAUAUGUGAGAGCCGUGUCAAUUGUCACAGGUGCAGUUGACACAGGCGCAGCUCGGACCGCACUUGCACUUGCCAUUUUGCGCACCUCCUUCCAUCAUCACGAAGGUCUCCACAAAGCUGCAAAAGUAAACAUGGAAACAUGAAAUUAAAAAACAAAAAAAAAAAAUGGUCCGGCCAUG
rnacentral:lncRNA from 1 species